rnacentral:lncRNA from 1 species
CUGUCCUGCAACAAGUUUCAAGGAGAAAUUCCUGACGUUAUUGGAGAGCUUAGAUGGCUUGCAUUGCUCAACUUAUCUCAUAAUAGUCUGACAGGACCUAUCCCAUCAUUACUGCGAAAUAUGAAAGGACUCCAAUCUUUAGAUUUGUCCUCAAAUCAACUGACAGGGGCUAUUCCACCUCAGAUAACUGCACUGACAUUUCUAGAAGUCUUAAACCUCUCGGGAAACCAUCUUAGUGGAGAGAUUCCUCAGAAAGGACAAUUCAGCACAUUCAACAAUGAUUCUUAUAUAGGAAACUCCGCAUUAUGUGGAUCACCAUUGACGAAGACAUGUGCAAACACAGCAUCACCUCCACAAGAAGUCGGAAAUGUUGAUGAAGAUGAUGCGGGUGAUGAAUUGACAUGGGAAGCAAUCUUGAUGGGAUAUGGAUGUGGACUGAUAUGUGGAUUGUCAUCUGCAUACAUUGUUCUCAAACUAGGAAAGCCUUGGUGGUUUGUGAGAUAUCUCGAAGUACUGCAACAGAAGUUGAUGAAAAGAUAUGCAUGAAGAAUGGUACUGGCCGAUCAAGACCAACUUGAAAGUUUGUUGUCCUUGUGCACAUUUCUGAACCAGUAGUGUACUUGCUGCAUAAGUAUUUGGUAUUAUGUAAUAAUCCGUUUGGUCGGGACUCAUAAUGAUUUCUCUUGCUUCAGGGGUAUUAAUAUUAACCUUGCUAUCUUGAUCAAUGUUAAAGCAAAUUAAAUGAAUGAAAAAACAAAAAGUAUGCAUCAAAUCCGCUCCUGCUGUACCAAAAUCCAUUAAAUUGCUUUGGUCUCUUACCUAACAAUUUAACAGCACACUUCCACACUGUUCAUACCUAAUUUGCGUGUAAUAUGAAAACUAAGAGGCAUGGCUUUUGUCUCUAUAAGUCUUUGAGAACUUAUUCUUCCAAGUCUUCUUCGGAGGCCUGCUGCCUCAACAACCUUUCAAAGAUGUAGCAGUUGCUCGAGAGUAACAUAUAUAUUAGAUAAAGACUAUGCAAUAAUCCACGUGACAGAAAAACCAAAGUCCAAUUAGUUUUCCAAGUUCAUAAAAAAUACUAUAGGAUCAUUAGCAUUACAUUAGUAUUCCACUAGCAUACAGCAUAUUAUAAGACAAAAGUAAGCGGAAAUAAACAUAAUUUCAAUAGAUUUAACUUACUCUUCAGAAUCGAUAAGUUUGGAACACGUUGAUUGAGCACAAGACGAAGGCCACACAUGCGCAUCAUCUGAUGCAGCUAUAUAUGGUGCCUUUACAGUUGCUCAUACAUAUAGUGAAACAAUAAGGAUCAACUCCUCCAUUGUACGUACACAUUUUCAUACAAGCUAUAAAGCAUGGUGAUAGAGUCUUUGCAAUCUCGUCAUGACCGGCACAUCCGAUUAUGAUAAACUCUAGCAGGAUCAUCCAAGUAAUAAUUUUCAUAAUGAUAUUAAUUAUCAUUGUGAAUAGUUGCAUUGAGUUAUAUAUGUGUGUGUAUAUAUAUGCAAUGGAUUUUGUGGUUGAGAAUAUCUAUUAGAUUUUGUAUAUCCAUAACAAUUAUUAAAAUUUAAACAAGAAUAUCUAUUAUUGGUUGUGGUUGACUAUUGUAGUAGUCCAAGAAAUCAAUGCAAGUGAAAUCUAUAUUAUAUUUUAAAAGAUUAUACAUGAAAUACAAAAGGUUUUUUUAGGACUGCUGUUAAAAAUUGUUAUGUUGUACGAAAAAAUGCUGAUAAAAAGAGUGUUAUACGAAAAAAUGCUGAUAAAAAAAAUGUCGUAUAAAUCAGAUAUGACAGCUUCCCACAAAAACUAAAAAAAACAGUUUUCCGUAAUAAUAUGGGAGAGGAAAAACUGUUUGUAGAUUUAUAGAACAAUUUUUCGGUAAAAAACUGUUGUUGUUUUCGAGAGUAAUGACAAACAGUGCCGAAAUCAUUUUGCAGGUAGUUAAUCUCACUUCCAUAUAAUAUACUCCUAUAUAUUACCGAAAAAACAUGAAAUGAUGCAAACCUCAUACUAUUGACAACAGCUAAACUCCUUGCAAUACUUUCAGCUGCAAAAUCCAUCAAAUUUUUUGAUUUAUCAUGUAACUGUUUGACAGAGUACUUCCAAGCCUAAGUAUCAAAAAUCACUACCUUACGAAAUAUAUCUCACCCUACCUUCUCUGCUUAACUGUUUCGAGUGCUUUUACCAAGCAUAUUUUCCAUUAAGCGUGAAAGGCACAGAAUAAUUAGGAUCACCGAAUAUCCCAUCAGUGCUGGGGAAUAUGGAACCAUCUUAUCAAUUAACUAGUUUAACAUUUCUUGCGGUCUUGAACCUCUCAGAAAACCAUCUUAUCCUAAUGUGCCGACUUCCUUUGACGGAGAAAUGGUGAUGCUGAUGCUAAUGAUAAUGAACUCAACUGGGGAGUGAUCCUUAUGGGAUACGGAUGUGGAUUGAUAUGCGGAUUUUCUUUGGGGUUUAUAUUUUGUGGUUUGUGAGAUACAUUGAAGUACUGCAGCUGGAGUUGAUCAUUAUAAAGAACAUAGGCAAGUUAAUCGCUUAUUGAAAUUAGUAAUUGUCAAAAGUAAAAUGUUGAAAUUACUUUUUUCGAUUGAAAUCAUUGAAAAAAAGUCUCUGUCGAAAUUGAUCUGCCAAAAUUAUGUUUAAUAUCUACGGCCAAGAUUAUCUGUCGAAUAUAUUUCCCGACAAUUUUAAAAGACAAAUUUUUCGCCUCUCAGCUGUGAGCGGGAACAGAUAUUUUCGACAGAAUUCCAUUGAAAUUAGCUAAUUUCAACAUAAAUUUUCUAUCGAAAUUACUUGAGUUCUUUGUAGCUUGUUUUCACAAAUACGCUGAUAGCCUUUGGGGACGGGUAUAUUGUUUUCACAAAGCCCUGGUGGUAUGUGAGAUGCUUCGAAGGACUGCAACUGAAGUCGAUAAGAACAUGCAGAAAGAAAACCGAUCCAUCUUGAUAAACUUGAAAAAUGUUGUCAUAUGGUGAUAUAUACUCCCUGGCCCCAGUCUCUUGGAAAGAACUUGGUUGAUUUUUUUUUUUCAGUAUUGUUGGAGCUGUCAUACUAGUGCUAGUGUGCCGACUAGCACUAGUAUGACAGCUCCAACAAGUAUCCAUCCCUAAUAAUUGCAGCAAAUUAAAAAAUAUAGCUAUAUCUUUUUAGCAAUGGUGCAAUUUGGAAAGCUUUCUCAUCAUCUUCUUCUUUUCUUUAUCUCAUUACUCUCAUCUAGUUCCACUGUCCUAUCUGCAACAAUUCGCGAAGGAGAAGCUCUUGUGGAAUGGAAGAACAGCCUAUCCCCGAAUUCAUUUCUUGGUUCUUGGUCACUAAUUAAUCUCACUUAUCUUUGUAAUUAAGUGGACUGGCAUUGUAUGCAACUCUGCAGGUUCAGUCAGUCAGAUUAAUCUUCAAGAACUCACACUUGCUAACCUCCGUUUCUUUUCGUUUCCAAAUCUCACCAAUCUCAACAUUACACAUAACAACUUCACUGGUCCAAUACCACCCGAGACUUUAGCUAUAGUAAUCUCAAUGGUACCCUUCCAUACCAGGUCAGCCAUCUUCAGAGGUCGGUCGUCUUAGGCCUCUAAUUUAAUCACUUGAAAGCUCUAAGCUUGUCCAAUUUUUCCCCCAUGCCUAUACUGGUUGGUCGCGGUCUUGGUGGUAAUAAGCUGGCGUCAAUUUUUCCAGAAUUCAUAUCUAAUUGCUAUAACAUGAUUAACCUUGAUCUUUCAUUUAACAUGUUAACUGGUGAUCCCUUCAACAACUUGCGAAUCUUGGAUCUCUUCGACAAUGAAUUCACUGGUUACUUGCCAAUCCAAUAUUUUAAUAAUAUGAAACCAGUUAAUACCGUGAUUGAUUAUUACAACAUAACAGUGAAUCAUGAUUAUCAAGCAUGUCUUGUUAACAUUUUGCACUCGUAUUAAUUGUCUUAUAUAUGACUAACUCAUCUUGCACUCGUAUUAAUUGUCUUAUAUAAUACUAAUAACAAAAAUAUGAGGCGGUGCUUAGUCAGAUGAUUUUAGUUGUUAAAAUAUUUUUGUGUUAUUUAUAGAUAGUGAAACAUGUCUAAUAUUUUAUCAAUUUUGUUUCGUUUCUUGAGAUUUCCAAAUAUUUAUUGGGACAUUGUACCAUGGUGUAUUUCACAUAUUCGCAAUUUUAAUUAUUUUGUAUUUUUAUUUUAAAGAUAUGAUAAAGUUUAUUUAUUUAUUUGUUUUUAUCUUAAAAGCGAUUUUCGAGUGUUGCUUAAACCUCGAAGAUUCCAAUCGAGUUUUAUUCUCGGAUCUGUUUCGGAAUUGAGCUUGGCCUUGAUUGUUUUCUGAAUAAAUCAGAUCUUUUGAAAUCAAAGGUUCGAUUGUGUUUUCCCGUCUCGCCUUUUGGCGUGUGUUGAUUUAGUACCCAAUUUUUGGGUGAUUCUGCGUUGUUAUAUUUGUGGUUGUUAUGUCUUUCUGUGUUAUCAAUGAGAAUGAUUGGGAUGGAGUUUUGGGAGAUUUGGCUUAUCGCAUCAUUACAUCUUUCGGCAUGUCUAUAGCUGGCUCCCGGCAUGUAGAUAGCUGGGGUAUGCUUGGAACGGUGGCGAUCGCAUGUGCUCACCUGUCACAAAUUAUAGUUGUUCAUUAUUCGAGGGCUCUUGUUCCUCGUUGCUUAGUUUUUACAACUGAGUCGUCUGAACACCGCAACAGCCAUGGAACUAUUGUGAAGGUCAAUUGUGAAGCUAUCAUUUUCGAGAUUGAUGUAGGCUGGAUUACUCGAGAAGCUUUUGUAUUCAUUUUCAGUUUCAAGAAUUCUUGAAUUCAGUGUGUUAAGCAGUCUGGAAACAAUGCGGCUAUUUGAUUAGCUCGUUUUAUUGUUUAUCAACCUGAUUGCAUUGUCAGUUGGGGAUUUGUCCCGAUUAAACUUGUUUUAAUAUAAUGGAAUGAAUUUGCAUUUUGUCAAAAAAAAAAAAAAAAAGCGAUUUUGAGUUGUUUGAGUUAGAUAUAUACUCCUACUGUGGUUCAACUAGUUUUGCCAUAAGUGAAUAACUUCCGGUCAAUAUUUUGAAAUUUGUCGUUAUCUUCUAAUUAAAAUAAAGGGUUAAAUAGCUACUUCAUCAUUAAUAUCGUUGAAAAUUUGCAGCUGAGUCAUGUUGUUGAAAAGACUUUCAAACUGCAUCAUUAAGUAAUUAAAAAAUUUCAAAAACACCACUCUCCGUCAGUUAUGUUAAACAAUUAACGGAAAGUUCGAAAAAAAAUAAAGAAAAGACAAAAAAACAUUAAAAAAAUUUGAAAAAAAAACCCGAAAAAAUGUGAAUAAACUAUGAUAUUUUUUUUCUUUUUUUGAAAAAUGUGAAUAAAAUCAAAAAAUCAAAAAAAAUGGGAAACCAAAAGUGGCAAGCUUUUUUUUUUUUUGUUCCUUUCAAAUUUUCUAAAAUCUGGGGAAAAAAGAACUUGCCAACUAAUUUUUUCCAAAUUUUUUCAAAUUCUUUUCAGAUUUUUGAAUUUUUUUCCAAUUUUUUCCUCACUUUUUUUCUGUUUUUUUUUGAAUUUAUUAAGAUUUUUUUUGUUUUUUCUGCUUAUUCUGAAUUUUUUAAGAUUUAUUCGCAUUUUUAAAAAAUAUUUUUGAAUUAUCCGUUAAGUAAUUAAUGGAACUGACGGAGAGUGAUGCUUUUGAAAGUUUUUAAUUACUUGAUAAUGCGUUUGAAAAUUUUUUCAACAACAUGACUCAGUUGCAAGUUUCCGGCGAGGUUAGUAAUGAAUUAGUUAUUUAACUCUUAAUAAAAAUCUAUCUAAACAAUAUUAUAAAUAUAAUGUUAUGGGUUCGAUGAGUCGUGUAAAACAUGGAAGAAGUUUAGGUGGGGUAAAAAGAGCCUAGCUGUGUGAUUUCCAUUCUGUUAUACGUGAUAUACUGUAGUUGAUCAUCUCCUUUGUCCGCUUCAUCCUGUGCAACCUUAACCUUUAAGGAAAAACUUAUGAGAUUCUCUAGUGCAUCUAAAUUCUUGUGUGAAGAAUGUGAAGAAAAAUGUUAGUCUCAGAUUAUUUUUCCUAAAAUGCUUGCAUGUUACAUUUUAUAUGUAUGUCCUGACUUUAAGUAUAAUUUAGCAUUUUUAUUUAGUAUUGUGUAAAAAUAAUAUAUUUUAUUCAGUCUUAUUAAAAAUAUAAUCAUGUUAUACUGUAAAAGUAUUUGUGAAUUUCUUUGUUACAUAUGUGUUUAAAUUAUUUUAUUUAUAUAUGUUUUACAAUUUUUUACAAAUAUAUAGGUUGAGUAUUGCAUAGGAAUAUAAUUACACGUUAGCAAAUAUGAUUAUGUGUAAACUGUUCUGCGUGCAUGUAUAUUGCUGCUAAGUUUUAAACUUCUUACUAACCGGAAUAAUUUUGACAGAUGUGUGGAACUUGAUUAAUUUAGUUGCACUAUAAGAGAAAGCGUUUUUGUCAAUAAAAAUUGUUAAGGAAAUUAGUCCGUUGGUAGUUCUCAACGGAUUUGUAACAAUUUGACUGGUCAAUGUUCUGUCAACCAAUUCGUAAUGAAAUACCCACACUUAUUUACAACGAGAUGUUCUAUUAGGAAAUAUAGCCACACAAUGGAAUAAUAACAAAAGACCAAGGAAUGAGCAACAGACUAGCAACGAAAGUAUCUGUUAUUACAUUCGUUGAUAUUCCCUUGAUAAAUACUAGACUUUUUAGCACUUUGGUGGCUUGUACUAUUUCAAAUUUGCACGUUAGUGGCCGACCUUUAAAAGUCAUCAAUUGUGUUGCUGAACUUAUUUUUUUUUAACACAUUAGGGGCUCCGCAUCAUAUCCGUUAAAUCGAAGUAACGGCGUCAAAUGAUCAAUACAUAUCUCCUCCUCCUCUUAUUUCCCUCCAAAUUAAAAAACGAAACGGCUACCCUCUUUUCCGAAGCAAGAACGACGACGAAUUCCUGCUUACAGAGAUGAGUUGGUUCCGGCGUCUUAAAGAGGAUGCUGAUGUGUAUUAGCCUCGACAGUGCCCCGAUUACUGUAGUAAGCUCUUCAACUUUUCUUCUUUGUAGCAUAUGAAAUGAGUUUAAUUGACCAUUAUUUCAGUGUUUGUUGUUGUUAGUGGCUAGUUGUUUAGUAUUAUGGACCUGCAAUUGCUUUAUACUAUUAAAAUGAAAGAUUCUGCUUGUGGGUUUUUAAAAAUUAAGGCUUUUACAUAGUCCAAGAUUCGGUCAUUAUAAAAUCAAUUUAUGCCUGUUUUAGUAUAGUGCUUGUUGUUAGUGGCUAUUUGUUAAGUAUAGUGUUGUUUAUUGUAAAUAAAACUGUUGCUUUGCACUCUACAUUUGCAGAACCUGGUGAUUUUACCCUAAAAAUAUAUCAUGGGGCCGAUUGGGUAGAUAACCCUAGGGCAUAUGUGGGAGGUACAGUAGAUUUCUUUGACUUCUGUAAUGCUGAUCAGAUCAGCAUAAUUGAGAUAUAUAGUAUGUUGAAAGAGGUUGAUGAGUUUGGGUUUCACCAACUGUGGUAUAAGCUACCUGGCACUACAUUCGAUAGAGCUUUUGUACUAAAUAAUGAUGAGGAGCUAAUGACCAUGUGUGAGCUUAUAUCUGAUGUGGAUAAGUAUAUGGAGAUUUAUGUCACCACUAUGGCACAUCUAAGUAUAGUGCCCUAUAGAGAUUUAGAGGUUGAAUUUGUUGAACCAACUCCUAAAGAAGCACCUGAAAAGAACAAUCCAUCACCUGAAAAGAUCAAUCCAGCACCUGAAAAGAUCAAUCCAGCACCUGCAAAGAUGUAUCCAGCACCUGCAAAGAGCAUUCCAACUGUGGGAAAUGAUGAUGAUCAGGAAGAGUUUGAGUUUGAUUUUGACAAUACACGGUUUUGGGAUACCACCCAAAAUGAAAUUGAAAUUGUGCAACAAGUUAGGGAAAUGGAGGGGUUGGAAGAGGAAUUUUCAGACACAGAUUCUGAUGAUGAGGAUUUUGUGCCAGAAGAAAAGGAAAGUAGUGAUGAGACCUUCCACUGUGAUAGUUCCAAUCAAGAUAAUUCUGAUGAUGAUUUGUUGUUUGAUGAUGAUUACUACCAUCCUUACCAGCAGAUGGAAACCAACAAAGAAAAAUAUACAACAACAACAACACAGCAAGAAUUUUCCAGUUCCUUGCUUGCUUCUGCGCCUCGGAUAGUUCUUCACUGUAGAAAUCCUUGUACUCAUCUUUGGCCUUAAUCAUUUCAGCAAAACAUUCAUCGUCCUUGUUCUUCAAACGCCUUAUCAGUCCAUUGAUUACACUCUUGCUGCGCGCAUCAAACUCGGGUUCAACCCACUUGAAGAAAUUGCACCUUCCAUUCACGCAAGUCAAGAAUCUUCUACCCGGAUUGUACUCCGUCCACGAUGUCUUCUCCACUGCCCAGCUUCCACACAUACAUUGUUGAUUCAUCUUUGCAGAGCUUUUUGGUUUGGAUGAGAGAUUUAGGUUUGAAUAUGCUCAAUUACACACAGCAGAAACGUAUAUAUAUACACAGCAUAUAGCCGUUGCAAAAAUAUUUUCCUGAAAUACCCCUGACGACCGUUACUUCGAUUUAAUGGAUAUGAUGCGGAGCCCCUAAUGUGUUAAAAAAAAAAUAAGUUCAGCAACACAAUUGAUGACUUUUAAAGGUCGGUCACUAACGUGCAAAUUUGAAAUAAUACAAGCCAUCAAAGUGCCAAAAAGUCUAAAUACUAACAGUUUCGUUAGUAAUUGAUUAUUAGUUUUACAUGGACAAUUGAUAUACACCACAUGAGCACAUACACGGAUACAAUGCCAGGCUCUUAGUUGAAAUGUGUGUACUGCUAAAGCUCAAGGAGAUUUAGUUGACUAAAUUGAUUUGAGUUGUAGAAAAAGGUUUAAUAAUAUAAUGGACUUUGAUAUAUGUAUUGUAGAUAUUAAGUAAUUCUCUUGAAUUUAUAUAUGUAACAUAAUUGUUAAUUGGCUCAUCCUUAACUAGAUAUUUUAUAUUACAUUCUUAACUACAGAUUUUGUAUUUAAAAUUUUUUUAAAAAAUUAACCUUUAUUUGGUAUGUGGAUUUUGUAGUCAAAUGUGGUCAAUUUACUUAGCCUUCGAUCGAAUACCUACCCAAAACAUAAAAAUAUUUUUUAAUCAUUUAUUUUCGACGAUCCAACUAUACGGAUAUUAUUGUAAUGUGAUAAUAUUGUUUACAAAUUUUUUUUAAAAAAAUUAGCCUUUUAUUUGGUAUGCGCAUUUUGUAGUCAAAUGCAAUUAAAUUACUUAGUCUUUAGUGGAAUCUUUACCCGAAACAUAAAACUUUUUUUUAAAAAAAAAUUUGGACAAUCCAACCGUACAGAUGUUAUUGUAACGUGUUAAUAUUGGUUAAAAUAAAUUUUGAGAAAAUAUGUCUUUUAUUUGGUGUGUGGAUUUUGUGGUCAAAUGCGGUCAAAUUACUUAGCAUUUAAUCGAAUACUUACCCAAAACAUGAAACUAUUUUUUUUAAAAAAUAAUUUCGGACGAUCCAACCGUACGGGGGUAUUGUAACACAAUAAUAUUGAUUAAUUUUUUUAUAGGAAAAUUAUAGCCUUUUAUUUGUUGUGUGGAUUUUGUUGUCAAAUGCAGUCAAAUUACUUAGCCUUUAAUGAAAUACUUACAUUAAACAUGAAUUUAUUUUUUUUUAAAAAUCAUUUGGAUGAUCCAAUCGUACGGAUGUUAUUAUGACAUGUUAAUUGAUUAAAAAAAUAUUUAAAAAAAAUGCCUUUUAUUUAGUAUGUGGAUUUUGUAGUAAAUGCUACUUAGCCUUUAAUCGAAUACUUACCCGAAACAUGAAACUAUUUUUCUAAAAAUCAUUUUGGACAAUCCAACCGUACGGAUGUUAUUGUAACAUGAUAAUAUUGAUUGUUUUUUUAUAUAAUAACCUUUUAUUUGGUGUGUGGAUUUUGUAGUAAAAUGCGGUCAAAUUACUUAGCUUUUAAUCGAAUACUUACCUGAAACAUGAAACUAUUUUUAAUAAAAUUAUUUUAGAUGAUCCAACCAUACAGAUGCUAUUGUAACGUGAUAAUUGAUUAUUUUUUAAAAAAAUUAGCCUUUAAUAUGGUGUAUGGAUUUUAUAGUAAAAUGAGGUCAAAUUACUUAGUCUUUAAUGGAAUAUUUAUUAGAAAUAUAUUUUAAAAAAUUAUUUUGGACGAUCCAAACUGUAUGAAUGUUAUUUUAACAUGUUAAUAUUGAUUAAAAUUGUUUUUAAAAAAAAAUUAGUUGUAUUUUAUGUGUGAAUUUUUAGUCAAAUACGAUAAAAUAUUUAUUUAGCUUGUAAUGAAAUAUUAAAACCCUACUUCAAAAGAAACUUGUCUAAAACUACCUAUAAGUGUUAGAGAAUCAUCGAUUUAGUUAUCAAAUUAGUUAUCAUAAGGGUUUUACUCCGCUUUUCUCUGGUAUGAUGUUGAUUUUUGGGGUUUGAUUGGUCGAUUUUCAUGUUUUAUAAGUUAUGUGAGUUCGAUUUUGAUGUUUUUACAAUUAGGUUUAUGUAUGUUCUUAUACAGGUUUCAUGUUCAUGUUUUGAUUUGUUGAUUUCCUAUUUUUCAUAUUUUGUUGAUUAGUUAUUUGUGUGGGUUUUGAACUUUGAUGAGUGUGUAUGUAAUCUCCUGUUUUUUUUUUUCAUUUUUCUGGUUCGAACACUUCGAUUAGUAGCUGGAAAAACAGCUGAUGCGGCAGUAGCGGCUAGUGAGAUGGAUAACAAGAAAAGGAUGAUUUCGAGGUCAUCUCGUGCAAGUCUUCAGAUAUAGUUUUGUUCCUUUAUGUUUUUAAUUGACAUAAAUUUUCACAUUUGAUGAUUAUAUUAUGGGGGAUUCUGGGUAUACUUGUAUAUAAUCUAGCAAGUUAUUAUAAUUCUGGACGGGGGGCUUAUUGUGAAAUUAAAUUGAGGGAUAAGUUGUGUUAUUGGUUCUAGUGGAUUAAAUUUAUGUUGACACUUGAUAUAUGCAUUGAUGUCGUAAAAUAAGUUGCACAUCAAACUAUUUGGCUUGUUUAAGUUGUAUGGAGUAAGGCUGUACGCGGAUCGGAUCGGUUCGGUUGGAGGGUAAUAACCAAACCAAACCGCAACUUACGGUUUUCUAAAAUCUCAAACCGCGACCAUACUGUUGGUUAAAAAAACCCAACCAAAUCCAUCCACGUAAUUGCGGUUGGUUGCGGUUCAACUGCUAAAAUAGUUAUAACAAAGAAAAUAUAUAAGUUAUUGCUUAAAAUCUUGCAUAAAGUACAGACUUUAACUCAAAAAUAUAUAAUUUAUCACUUAAAAUCUUGAAUAAAGUUAAUACAAUAAAUCUGAUUACAUAUUACAAAAGCAAACUACUCCGGAAAUAUAUAACUUGAAGCAGAGCUUCAAGUUAAUGGUUAUUAAAAAUUUCAUCCGCGACUGCCCACAUUUUACGGUUAUCCAUAAUACACGGAUCGGUUGCAGGUGGUUGUUGCGGUUAAUGCGGUGGAGCGGAUUGAACGUACAGCCCUAUGAAGUAUGGUUGCCAAGCAUUGGUUGGUUGUACACGUGUAAACAAAAUGAUAUUUUAAUAUUUAAACAAAACAAUACAGUCAUAAACAGAUCGUGUCGGGCUGGACUGAUUGUGAUUUUCCUUUUUGGAACUCGUACUCGGCAUCUUCCAAGCGAAUGAUAUUUAGAAGUUUGUUGCUAGUAUACUCCAUGUCAUAAUAAGAGUUCUUUAGAUUUUUUAUAUGUAAUUCGAAGUAUAAAAAACAUAUUUUAACAUAUUAUUUUUAAAUUUUUUAUACAUAAAAAUAUAACAUCUAUAUUUUUAUUUAGAAAAAAAUUUGAAAUAUAAUAUAUAGAUGCAUGUCUUUUUUAUACGUGAAAUUACAUGUAAAAAAUUAAAAGACUCUUAUUUUGAGUAAGAGAGAAUAUGAUGUACCAUAAAGUCAUCGAUCUUUUGUUAUCAAAUAAAUGUGAUAUUUAAUUAUUUAAGAGCAAGUCCAAAAGUAUCUUAGUUAAAGUCCUAAAUAUAAUAUAAAAUAUUACGUUCUGGUGAUUUAGGAUAUAUUUUACUAACUUGGACUCCAACAAUGUGUCUUAUUCUCAUAAGAAGUUUAAUAUUUUAUUAUUAAAGACUCUCUUUCAUCAUUAAAGCAUAAUAUAAAAGUAGAGAGAGAAAAAGAGUGUUGAUAAGAAUUAAUAAUAAAAUAUGGGAUAGGGUUAGGAGAGAUGUGCCUCAAAAAUAGGGUUUGAGGAGUUUCAUUAGGUGUGGACACGGAGACCAAGAAGUAAAAGAUGAGUACAGUUAAAUGAAGAUGUGGUAAAAUAAUGUGACCCAUUUAUAUUUAAUAAUACAUUUGAAAUAGUGGAGGAAAGUAACGAGUGUAAUAACGUUUAUAUUAUUAUAGCAUAUAGAUAGCAGAAGAAAGCAAUGGGUAUAAAAGUGUAUUAUAUUAUUAAAGUUUUGAAAUGUUUAGAAAUAAUGGGGCAAUCAAAAAGAAAACUGUAUAAAAAUGGACGAGAGAAUACAAUUCAAGAAGUAAUAUAUCUCAAUUCAAACUAGGUAAUAUAUUUAUGAAUUAUAUUAAAAAAAAUUUGACAUUCAAAUAUAAAAAUUUAUUUUAUCAUCUUAACAAUGGAAUAUUCGAUUAUUAACUUUCGUAAAUAACAUUAAUUUUUCAUUAUAAUAUACUCUAAACUUUUAUUUUAUGUGCCUGUUUGUUUACAAGAAGCUGGAGUCCUACUUCUCUUGACUCGUUUGUGUAAAAACGUAAAAAGUGCUUUUAAAAAGUACUGAGAAGGAAAUGGAAGUAGAAAAUGCUAGUUUUUCUUUAUAAUAUCUAUUUCUUUUCUAGACACUUUAAUAAUUUAUAUAUAUUAAUUUAUUUCUCACUUAUACUCCAUUUUUUUAUAGAGAACUUCUUUUAAACUAAUCGGCUCCUAUAAUCAGUAGUUUCUCAAUUUUAAUAGGAAUAAGAGCAUGUUUAUCUGAGCUUAAAGCCCGGGGUUUAUAUCAUCUCUGGCUUUAAGCUGAAAAAUGUAUGUUUGUGUAUUAAGUCGGAAGUCGGCUUAAAGUCGGAAAUAAGUCAAAAAUUGACCUAAAACCAGAAGUUAGUUUGAGAUACUUUUCUCGGUGACUAAUUUUUUUUUUAGCCAUUUUUUGAUAAAAAUUAUUCCUAAAUCACAAAUUACUCAUAAAUUACUUUUAUUAUUAUUAUUAUUAUAUUUUUAAUAACUUAUAAAUUAUUAAUAAAUCAAAAUUAAUCAAACAAAUAUUUUAAGUUCUCAUAUUAUGAGAUAACUAACGUUAAGUCAUGAAUCAACUGAACGGGAUGUAAGUCUUCUUCUCCCCGAGUCAUCAGCAGACUUUUUCCAUGUCUUCUGAGCCCCCAUUGGCUCACAAUUGGCCCAAAAAAUAUUUGGUUAUGCAUUGCUAUUCACACACUUAGACAUCAAAAUUUAUCAUCCGACAGGCGACAGCUAACUGCACACUAUUUUUCCCACAAGCUGAAAAAUCAACGAUCAAUUAAUUUUUCUUAUCAAUUAAUAAAGUUAUGAUUUCACGUACACGGCAGGCAAAAUGCUAAUAAAUAGACGAGUGCAGUAUAGUAUGGGUUCAUGAUCACCUUGAGAUUUAAUUGAAAAAUAUUAUGGUGAUAUAGAUUAAAUUAAAUUAUAAUAUCUUGAAAAGUUAUAAAUAAUUUUAAUUACUAAUAAUAUUUAUUUGUACAUUUAAAUAUUUUUAUAAAAACACAAAAAUAGCAUUAUACUCAUUUAAGUUUCUCGUAUCCGCCUCUCUUCUUGGAGAUUGUGGAUUUGCGAUAUUUAUAUUGAUUAUUAUAGGAAAAUGUUAUUUCCAGAGCAAACAUUUUUAUUUCCGGAGCAAAUUCAAACAAAUUUUUCCAAAUUGUUCUGGAAAUUAAAAUAUUGAUAUGGAUAUAACAAUUCCCUUAUUAUAUCCUAUGUAUAUUACAUUAAUGCAAUUAACAUGGUUGAUUGUUUUAGUAUAUAAUCAUAUUACUGUGACCUUUUAGUAUAUAAUUAUAUUAUUUUUGUUAUAUUUUAUGCAUCUAGAAACAAUUUUUUUAUGAUAUUUAUUAUAUUAAUUAUAGUAAAAGAUAUAAUUUUGUUUAAAAAAUUGAAUAAAACUAAGAGGGAUAGCCUACGUCUCUCCGAGUCUUCGAGGACUCAUUCCAAGUCCGAGAGGACCACAGCCUCAACCUUUAAGAGAUGUGAAAGUAGCUUGAGAGUGAUAUAAAUUUAUUUUUGACAAUAAAAUUUAAUAAUCAAAUAAAUUAAAUUAAAUUAAACUAGUUUAUAAUCGAUUAAAAAUAUAUAAAUCAAAAUUAUUCCCGAAUUAUGAUAACAAUUAAAAUCAUUUUAAAAGUUGCAUAAAUCAAAUCCAAAUCGAACAAAUUCCCCUAACACUAAAAUGUAGUUGCUUUAUUGUAGAUAAAAACAGUAUAAUAAUAGUAUUGAUGAAAAAUCAAAUUCAUCAAAUAAGUUUAUAAAAAAUACAUGAUUUUAAUUUUAAAAAAAAAACAUGAUUUUAGUGUGUUGUAUUAGUAGUGUGUCCACGCAUUUAUAUAUUAAAAUCUAUCCUCUAAAAACUAUCGAUCUAUUUACACAACUAUUGAUCUGUCGUGCAACAAAUUCCAGGGCGAAGUUCCAAAGAGAGCUUAAAUGGCUUGCAUUGCUCAAUCUAUCUCAUAAUAGUCUUAACGACAUAUGUUCUGAAUUAUUAUUAUGAUUUCAACAAUAUUUUCAAACAUUUCUUAAUAUGUAUUUUCAAAGAAUUCUCAAGCACUUGAACAUUUGGACCGGUUCUUUCGAAGCCAGGCAAUGCACAAAAAUGUCCAAAAAUGAAUAAAUUAAGAGAGAGUAGCUCACCCUUUCAAAGCCUUCCAGGACUCAUUCCAAGUCUUCGGAGGACCACUGCCUCCCCCUUUCAAAGAUGUGAUAGUAGCUCGAGAGUGAUAUAAAUUAUUUUCCCGACAUUAAAAAUAAAAAAUCAGAUUAAAUUAAUCAAUAAUAACUUAAGGAUGAAAUCCAAAUUAAUCCUAAAUUUUGAUAAUAUAUAAAAAUUAUAAUUAUAAAUUAUAUAACCAAAUCAGAAUUGAAUUAACUUACUUGGCACUAGAAUUGCUAAAGACAGUAUAAUAAUUUAAUUGAUGAAAAGUCAAAGUCUUCUAAUAAAUCCAUAAAGAAUAUGAUAAUAUGAAAAUUAUAAUUGAAAAAUCAAAAUCAAUAGUGUAUUGGAAUAGUGUUCACACACUUAUAUAUCAAAAUUUGUGGUCCAAAAACUAUAGCACAAUAUCCUAAAUACAUCACAUUAAAUAAUAGCACAAAAAUAUUCAAUAAAUAAUUGAUUUCAUUCAUAAAUUUGUUAUUUUAAAAACUAAUAAUUUGGUUGAUGUUAACCUAUAUUUUAUAUAUAAUUUCGUCUUAUUUUAUUUUACUAGAAACAAUAUUUUUAUAAUAUUUAUUACAUUAAAUAUAUUAAAAGAUAUAAUUUUAUUAAAAAAAUUGAAUAAAAUUAAAAGGAUAAGUCUCGGCCUCUCCAAGUCUACAAGACUCAUUUCAAGUCCACCGAGGGCCUCAACCAUUGAGAGAUGUGAAAGUAGCUUGAGAGUGAUAUAAAUUAAUUAAAUUAGUUAAUAAUGAAUCAAGACUAAUCAUGAAUUAUGAUAAUAAUUAAAUAAAUUAUAAAAUUAAAUUAUACAAAUAACACUAAACCUUAGUUACUUUAUUGGUAAAUAAAUAUAAUAUAAUAAUCAAAUUGAUGAAAAAUCAAAAUCAUUUAAUAAAUUCACAAAAAAUAUAUGAUCAUUAGUAUGUUAUAUUAGUAUCCACACACUUAUAUUUCAAAAUCUAUCCUCCAAACUUAUCAUCUCUGUAAACUAGCCACAUAAAAUAAAAAUUUAAAGAUAUUAGAUAUUUAGUUAUUUUCAUUAUAUAAUUUUUCCACACGAAAUAACAAAAUAUCUUUAUCAAAUUAUUAUUUAUGAGUUAAAUAUUCAAUUUAUAAAUCCAGUAUGCAGCGUAUAAAUAGAAGUGUGCAGUAUGAUAUCAGAUUCACAUAACCCAGUUGAUGAGGAGAAACAUGGCAUACUCUGCAAAGCCUUCUCACCUUCUUCUCUUUGUUUUCUUUCUCUCAUCACUUGAAUCCAUUCUUGCAACAACACGAGAGGGAGAAGCUCUUGUGAAGUGGAAGAAUAGCCUAGCCCCUUCUUCUUUUCUCGACUCUUGGUCACUCACCAAUCUCGAUAAUCUUUGUAACUGGACUGGCAUUACUUGUAACUCUGCAGGUUCAGUCUCUGAGAUUAACCUUAGUGAGAAACAACUUGAUGGAAUGCUGUCCGAGUUUGGUUUCACUUCAUUUCCAAAUCUCAACAAUCUCACCCUCGCAUACAACUUCUUCUCGGGUCCAAUACCGCCAGCCAUUGAGAAUUUAACACAGCUUCAAUACCUUGAUUUAAGCUUUAAUUAUCUCGAUGGUCCCAUUCCGUUCCAGGUUAGCCAUCUUCAGAGGUUGCUCAUCUUAAACCUGUCACAGAAUGCAUUGCAAGCUCCAAAUUGGUCCCAUUUCUCUCCCAUGCCUUUCUUGCGCAUCCUCGACCUUAAUAGCAAUCAUCUUGCGUCGAACUUCCCAGAAUUUAUAUCCAAUUCUCAUAGCUUGGCUAUCCUUGACCUUGGAUAUAACAACUUUACAGGUGACCUUGUGCGUGAAUUUACUAAUCUACAAAAUCUUGAAACCCUCUACCUAGAUGAAAAUUCUUUUGAGGGGCCAUUUCCGCCGGAUGUAUUCAGGCUUUCCAAAUUAAAACAUCUUCGCCUGUCAGGUAACAAAUUCUCAGGUUCAAUUCCCAAUGACAUAAGGUUGCUUUGUGAUCUUGAAUCCCUAUAUUUAAGCAACAAUUCCUUUAAAGGACCCCUUCCAUCAAAUAUAUUCAAGCUUUCAAAAAUAAAACAUCUUGUUCUUUGGAGUAAUAAGUUUUCUGGUUCUGUUUCCAAUGAUAUAGGUUUACUUUCUGAGCUUGAAACCCUCGAUCUUAACUCUAAUUUUUUUGAGGGGCCGCUUCCGUCAAAUAUAUUCAAGCUCUCCAAACUAAGGUAUCUUUCCCUUUGGGGUAAUAACGUUUCAGGUUCUAUUUCCAAUGAUAUAGGUUUGCUUUCUGAGCUUGAAACCCUCGAUCUUAACUCUAAUAUUUUUGUGGGGCCGCUUCCGCCAAAUUUAUUCAAGCUCUCCAAACUAAAGAUUCUUUCCCUUUAUAAAAAUAACUUUUCAGGUUUUAUUUCUAAGGAUAUAGGUUUGCUUUUUGAACUUGAAACCCUCUAUCUUGGCUCUAAUUUUUUUGAGGGGCCGCUUCCCCCACAUGUAUUUAGGCUCUCCAAAUUAAGAGAUUUGGGUCUCAGAGACAAUAGAAAUUUAUUUCAAGGAAGUAUUCCUAUUGGACUGGGACUCUUGACUAAUCUCAGGUACUUGAGUCUAUUUUCCAAUGAUCUCAGUGGCUAUAUUCCAUCUGAGAUUGGAAACCUGAAGCUACUAAAAGUUCUUGAACUCGGUUCUAAUCAAUUGACAGGACCGCUUUUAAAGAUAGUUUCUAAUCUCAAAAAUCUUAUAUAUCUUGGUGUAAGUGGUAAUAGUCUUAGUGGAAAUAUUCAGAGUGACUUGUGGAAAUAUAACGAUCAUCCAACUUUGGAAUACAUCAAUUUAAGUGGGAACCAUUUUACGGGUAUAGUUUCUCUCUAUAGAUCUUUGUCAUAUGUAACUAAGCUAGUAAUCUGAUUAUUGCCUUUUCACCAAAGUUUCAACAAUCUUGACAGGUGAGCUUCCAACAACAAUUUGCAAUGUCACAUCCCUUUUGCUUCUUGAUUUGUCAAAUAAUGAAUUAAGUGGUGCACUUCCAAACUGUUUCGGAAAUCUUGCUGAUAGAUUGCUUUACGUUAAUCUUGCUAAUAAUCAGUUUCGAGGAACAAUACCAACUACUUUCUCCAGGAGUUGUCAGCUGAAAUAUCUAAACAUGGAUAAUAAUGAGUUUGAAGGAUUGUUGCCCCCGUCUUUGGAAAACUGUAAGCACUUGAGAAUUCUUGAUAUUGGCAAUAAUAAAAUAGGUGGUACAUUUCCGUCAUGGCUUUAUGUACUUGGAGAGCUAGAAGUCCUUGUCUUGCAAUCAAAUAAACUCUAUGGUACAAUAAGUGGAAGGAGCAUAGAAGAUCCCUUCCGCAAGUUGCGGAUUGUGGAUCUGUCCAACAACCACUUCACAGGCCAUUUGCCAAUUCAAUACUUUAAGAAUAUGAAAUCAACUGAUAAUUUGUAUAGUUAUCAGCUUUCCACAGCAGUUUUUUCUUUCCAUUAUGAAGCAGCAGUCUCAUUAAUUGUGAAGGGAACAGAGUAUGAAGUAGCAAAUAACCUUCAUAUUUACACAGCCAUUGAUCUGUCGUGCAACAAAUUUCAGGGAGAAAUUCCAAAGGUUACUGGAGAGCUUAAAUGGCUGGCAUUGCUCAACUUAUCUCAUAAUAGUCUAACAGGACCUAUCCCGUCAUUGCUGAGAAAUAUGAAAGAACUCCAAUCUUUAGAUUUGUCCUCAAAUCAACUGACGGGGGCUAUUCCACCUCAGUUAACUGCGCUGACAUUUCUAGAGGUCUUAAACCUCUCGGGAAACCAUCUUAGUGGAGAGAUUCCUCAGAAAGGACAAUUCAGCACAUUCAACAAUGAUUCGUAUCUAGGAAACUCCGCUUUAUGUGGAUCACCAUUGACGAAGAAAUGUGCAAACACAGCAUCACCUCCACAAGAAGUCGGAAAUGUUGAUGAAGAUUAUGCGGGUGAUGAAUUGACAUGGGAAGCAAUCAUGAUCGGAUAUGGAUGUCGACUGAUAUGUGGAUUGUCAUCUGCAUACAUUGUUCUCAAACUAGGAAAGCCUUGGUAGUUUGUGAGAUAUGUCGAAGUACUGCAACAGAAGUUGAUGAAAAGAUGCUUGAAGAAAGGUACUGGUCGACCAAUAAGAACUUGAAAGUUGUUGUCCUGGUAGACAUUUCUGAACCAGUAGUAUUUGGUAUUAUGUGAUAUUCUGUUUGGUCCGGACUCAUAACGAUUUCGCUUGCUUCAGGAGUAUUAAUAUUAACCUUCCUAUCUUGAUCAAUGUUAAUGCAAAUUAAAAUGAAAAGGCAAAAAAUAUGCAUCAAAUCCCCUCCUGUUGUACCAAGAUUCAUUAAUUAAGAGGCAUGGCUUUUGUCUCUCCAAGUCUUCGAGAAAUUAUUCCAAGUCUUCUUUGGAGGCCUACUGCCUCAACAACCUUUCAAAGAUGUAGCAGUUGCUCGACAGUGAUAUAUAUAUUAGAUAAAGACUAUGCAACAACCAACGUGACAGAAAAAUCAAAAUAGGACAAAAUCCGUACGAAUCAAAAUAGUUUAUUUCUAAGGGGAAUAGCUGAAUUAAAUUGUAAGAGAAGUAAAACAGAUUCUUUUAUAUUUUGGAAUAUAACUGAAAAAGAUUUUGAGAUAAUUUUCAGAAAUCAAACCAGUCAAAUAAAUAUUCGCUGAAGGAACAGAGUAAAGAUACAACGAAUAUAACAAGUUGUAAGAUGAAUAUCGCUGAAUCAAACAGGGUAGAACCCGUACAAAAACGCCAAACAGAAAGGAUCAAAACAGAGUAAUCAAAUUUACCUAACACUAAUAGAAGUAGUGCUGAAUAAAAGAGAACGAAAUCUGUACCUUAAAAAUAGCAAACGCAAACACUAACCAACCUCACAAGGGACCAUCUAAACUCCCUAACCCCGACUUUAUCUUAAACUCCAAAUAUCUCCCUGACUCCAAUAUGCCCAGAACAAUAAACGAAUGUUUUGACCUUCUAAACGAUGUUUUCUGGAAUAACGCAAAACACGAAAAUCGUAGAGAACGAAAAGACCUUUCCGAAAAGGUAAGGCUCGUCAAGAACGGAGUCAUAACGAAUCGGGAAUUAAAUAAAACGUCCGCUGAUUCAGAACUCAAAGCGAGAACAGGAUCUGAUUAAGUUUUGUAAUUUUGAGAACAGUUUGAAACAUAAUCUGAGAAAACAUUAUAAACGAAAGUAUAUGAGAUUGAAAGAGCUUUCCGAAACAUCAAGAAUCAUCAAAUUCCGAUAAGAAUUGAAUUUUCUACGAAUUUUACAAGACAGCUGAUUUGUGAGAAUAAAGCCCUACGAAUUUUUGUCAUAAAAAUGAAGAGAAGGUUGAGUAGCUCUCAAAAGUAUAUAAAAAGAAUGAGAGAACAAAUCAAUAUACUCCCUUUGUCCCUCUCGUUUAUUUACAGUGUUUGACACGCAUUUUAAAGCGCAUAUAAAACAUAGUUCUAUGAUUUAUUUUCAAAAUUUUUCUUUUUUGUAUAAAAAUUUAAACAUCAAAUUUUUAUCUAGAAAAAAAGGAAGUUCAAAAUAAUUUAUUGAACUACGUUUUACGAGAGCAUUAGAAUGCGUGCCGAGCCCCCGUCCCCCAAUGUAAACAAAUGAGAGGGACGGAAGGAGUAUAUAUACAGAGUCUUGAGACCCUAAUUCUAAACCUAUCCAUUAUCUGAAUGCAAGGCUGAUCUAUAUUUUAAGUACACUAUCCUAAUUCAAUUUUAAAUCCUAUUCAUAAUCUAAUUUUAAUCCUUUAUUAUUAUUACUAACCAAUUAAUAUUAUUUUAAAAAAAUACUGGAUAUUACAUUCCUGAUCAGACUAGUGAUCGGAUUGCAACCGCAAAGCAGCCUAUAUAUAGUGACAAUUAAAUACACAACAAAACAACUUCUUUCUUCUCUCUUGGGUUAUAAUACUCAGACGGACAAGCUAUAUCUGAGGCGAUUUUCUGGGCGAUUAAACACACAAUAAAAGCAGCUUCUUCUUCUUCAAUUAAGGUUUAUUCUACACCCAAUCACAUACACACACACACUUUAAUAUGACUAGUGAGUUCAAUUUUUGGUGGUAUUAUAUGAUUAUCAUGUUCUCUUUUUAAAUAUUAGUAACGUUAUUUUCGGAGUGGACUCUGUUGAUGUUUAAAUUUGAUAUAGAUAUUGUAAUUGAAAAUUUAUGUUGAUUUGUUGUUCAGAUUUCAAGUAUUAAUUUGUGUGUGAUCAAAAUUUUGCUUCUACAUCGAUUAUCAGGAGGAAAUAUGAGGCCGAUCUUGAUCAAAGGACACGAAAGGCCAUUAACAUAUCUAAAGUAUAACAAGGAGGGUGACCUCCUCUUCUCCUGCGCAUUAGACAGAAACCCCGCUGUUUGGUACGCUGAUAAGGGAGAGCUUUUAGGCACUUACCGUGGGCACAUUGGUUCUGUUUGGGGUUGUGAUGUUUCUAGGGAUUCAAAACUUUUAAUAACUGCAAGUGCGGAUCAAACAGCAAAGGUAUGGGAUGUUCAAACUGGGUCUGAGCUGUUCACGUUUGAAUUUAAGUCCACUGUGAAAUCAGUAGAAUUUGGUGUCGGAGACAAGCUUGCUGUCAUUGCAACAGACUCCUUUCGUGACAUGUCUUCUGCAAUUCAUGUCAAACACAUAGCCAGAGAUCCUAGUGAACAGUGCGGUGAUUCUGUGAUUGAAUUCUCACCUGGAGGAAGAAUCAAUAGAGCUGUUUGGGGACCUUUAAAUAGGACCAUAAUAAGUGGUGGUGAACAAGGCGUUGUUCGUGUGUGGGACGUUGAGACAAAGAAAGUGAUUUAUGAGUCAGACAAGGAUACUGGUCAUCAGAAGGCCAUUACAUCACUUGCAAAAUCAAGAGACGGUUCACAUUUACUUACUGCUUCCAUUGACAAAUCAGCUAAGCUUUGGGACAUCAGAUCAAUGAAACUUCUCAGGACAUACAAGGCUGAAGCCCCAGUUAAUGCAGUUGCACUCUCUCCACUACUUGAUCAUGUCGUGCUCGGAGGUGGUCAAGAUGCAUCGACUGUUACAAACGAUCCUCGUGCUGGCAAGUUUGAGGCCAAAUUUUAUUCCAAGGUCCUUGAAGAAGAAAUUGGAUCUGUGAAAGGACACUUUGGUCCGAUAAAUGCAUUGGCAUUCAACCCUGAUGGAAAAAGUUUCGCAAGUGGAGGUGAAGAUGGUUAUUUGCGAUUACAUCACUUUGAUCAUGACUACUUCAACAUGGCGAUUUAAUUCGAAUUACUUACAUUGCUACGUCUUUUUUUUUUUUUUUCCGGUUUUAUUCAAGUUAUUUUCUGGUUUUUAUGUUGAUCUUAUGUUCUUUGUUAUAAAUAGAAGUGUGGUUCCUUUUAAAACUAUUUACAUAAGUUUUUGGCUUUUCAUGUAAUUUAAUCAAAGUAAAUGCCAUGAGAUCCUGAAUAUAUCUACUUAUCUAUCUAUCUACUUAUUAAAGCAGAAUCAGGGGAAAAAUAUACCAGAAAUUGGAUGAAAAAUUUACAUACACACCCUCAAUUAUUCAUCAAUUCCGAAAUUGGCCUGUAGUUUAGCUGUUAACUUGCAGGAUUUUUGUAAAAGUAGGAAUCAGCGAUUCUUAGGUACCCCAGUGACCCCGAAUCGGUUUCUCAGAUUCUUGGAAAUCCUCGGUCAGUUGAUUUAGAUUGUGGGCAUAUAUACACCUAUAGUCAGCCUCCGGCGGUGCAAUCUUUUGGUGGUGUUUUUCAGCCUUUUCUGCUAUAGCGAUUCUUGUUAAAACAUUCAGGUGCUAGGGUUGUUUUGUUGGUAAAGGGAAUUGGAUUGUUGUAUCUGCGGUUGUGGCAAAGGUAAUUUUCUUGCCCUUGCUAUUCUUUUGGGAUGUCUGAUUAUAAAUAGCCCUUCUAACUUUGUUCACCUGUUCUGUAUGAUGUGUGUCAUUUGUGAUUGAGUCGAGCAGUAUAUCAUUUUGAUGCAUAUUGUUAAUUUCACUCUGGGAAAUUUUUAUGCUGAUGUUUGGGCAAUUAAUUCUGGUUAUUUCGUUGAUUUUGUUUGUGGUUUGUUUCCACCUGCCAUUAGAACUGUAAAGUAAAGUGUAUUUAUUGAUCAUGAUUCAAGUGUUUGUAGAUAAUCGAUGUGGGUGACAAAGAAGCUGCAAAUGAUGAUGGUUCUUCACAAAUUUUAUCUGCUUUGCUUCCUUUUGUUGUGGCUCUCACCAUGGUUGUCAAGUCGACGACUGCUGUUGCUGCUCUUGCUCAGCCCUCAACUUUCACCUGGUAACAACUUUUGUAUGUUUGGUAAAAUAUUUUGAUUUUUUUUUUUUUGUAAGGGUAAAAUAUUUUGAUUGUGAUAAGCUAAUUUAUUGUUUUUUAAUGAUUCCAACACUACAACAGAUUUAGCAUCACACAACGGUUUUUGCCCGUUGUCUGAGACCACGGAAAACCGUGGUCUAUCGAGACGCCGUCUGAUAUGCGUAUCAGACAACGGUGCGCACCGUUGUGUGAUAGUGCUAAACACGAUGGUUUACGUUAAAAAAAUUGUUGUGCAACACCCAGAACCAACAACGUUUACUCUUAAACGUGGUGUUGUUAGAAACACUCCUUAACAAUAGUCGAUUUCAAAAAUGGUGUUGUUAGAGAGACUAUCCACAACAGUUUUAUUAGCUCGCAAGACUUGUUGGAAAGAUGAUCAUACAACAGUAGUUGAAAUAGAGAAGCUCGUUCUUUCCUCUCUUGUACAACGGGUUUCGAACACCAAGCCACUUGUGUAAGGCCCCUUCUAACAAUGUUUUAAUUAGUGAGGUUGUUGUGUUUAGUUACGUCAGACAAUGGUUUUCUUUCAUAGUUGGUUGUCGUUUACAUGUUUUAACAAUUGUUUCUGUUUCAUCAUUAUUGCAAGUCAUUUGUUUGGACAAUGGUUUUGUGACAAUAAAUCAUUGUUUCCAGUUUUAUGAGACAAUGUUUUUAAUGAAUAAUGAUUAUUGUAUCAUGUUCAGUAUGACAAUGGCCCUGUAUUAUCCCAUUACCUAAAUACAUAAUAGACAAUGAUUAACAUAACUCGAUUAAACUAAGCUAGAGAAUGUAAUUAAAAAGCCAAAAAUUUGUAAACAAAAAAUUUCAUUAUGCACUAAUAACCAUUGUUACAACCAAAUCAUAUAUACCAUCCAAUAUCCAGAAAUAUUUCCCCCGAGGAUGGCAAAUCUCAAAAAUAUAAAUACCUACAAUAAAUGGUAGCAUCUAGAGAGGCAUAUGUGACUACAAGAGUCUUUUGUGAGCUUUUCAACUACCCAGCCCAGGAACAAUCCUCUGAUUGCAUUCUUUUGAUUCGGAUGGAGCCCUCCUGCUAUCUCUUUUGGAAGUGACUCUACUGCAACCACCUGUAAUACAUAAAAAAGUUCUUGAUAUGCUUUUCGUACAAAGAAAUUAAUGUGGUUGAGGAGUAUGUUUCGAGUUCAAAAUAUACCAGUGUGCCAUCUUCCAUGGUUUCACGUCAUUCAUACACAAUAAAUUGUAGCAAUUGUGAGCCCUAUCAACAUACCAGUCUUUCUGUAUUUAGAGUUGGAGCAGCUAAGCCAAAAUCAGACAAAUGGGGAUUGAGUUCAUCAAGUAAAAUAUUUGCUGACUUUAAGGUACUAUUAACAACAUAAGGAACAACAUCAGCAUCUUGCUUCUAUCAUCAGUGAAGUAUAAAAACUCUUGCAAGCUACUAUUUGCAAUAUAAUCAUGGACCAGAAGACGUACCAUGUUCAGCGGAAUAUCAUUCAAAUCUCUGGCAUGGUUGUUGUGAUGGAUAAAAAUAAGUUCCUUUAUGACCUGAAUUAAACAUUAAAAGAUACCAAAUUAACCGAAAUGCGUAGAGAUGCACAAAAAGUCCAGGCCCGAAAAUAUGGUCAUAGAGAUUUAAAAAAAGUCGAAAAUAAAGACAAACCAUGUGAGUAAAAAGCAGAGUAAGGAGGAUUGAUGGUAGUGUUUGAUAUAGAUGCCAUGUGGGUAGAUCCAUAUGAGCUGCUGGAAGCAGAGAGAUUUCUUCCAAACUCUCUUACAUUAUUGACAACAUUUGUGUUAACAUAUAUGUGUUGUAUAUGAAAUUUUAAAGAUUAGAUACAUAAAUAUAAUAUUAUUCGGAAAAUAUAACAUACCAUCUCGAGUCAUUUUCUUGCUUGGUCAUUAAAAUAACCUACAGCAAGUAAUGUACCCUCACUCUAUAAGAAGAAGAUGGACAAAAAGAAGUCAGUUGUAUGGAUGCCUCGGAAUAUAUACAAGAAUGUCCCAGGGAUAUUUAUUCAGUUGAUGAAGCAUGUAUAUCUAGAAAUUAACAAACCUCAUCAGCCAAAACAAAUAUAAAAUUAAUAAAAUCAUCUGUCUCCAAACACACAGAUUAAAAUCAAAGCACAAAUGUUAUCACACAAAACCAAGACAACACAAGAUCCAUCACUAAAACACACAACUACUACUAAAAUCAAACACACAAACAAAAAUCUCAUAUAGAUUCAAACUUUAUCCCCAAAAUCAAGUAUAAUUACACAGUAAAAAGCAUUCGUUUACCUCUUCAUAAGGUGAAUUGUUGUUAAACUAAUCAGCACGGUCAACACCGGCAUCAAAAACUUGAAUGGCCUUUGGGGUUAUCGCCGACAGAACAGAUCUGAGUAAGCUUUGUAGAAAAUGAGAUAGAGACGGGGGAGGGAGGGGAGAGUUCAGAGGAGGGUGAGGGAGAGACAGAGGGCGAGAGGGAGGGGAGGGGCGAGAUGCUUUAACAAAUCAAUUGCGGCAAGAGUGGGGAAGACACAGCCGCACCAGAAGAGGAAGAGAUAGAUUCAGAAGAAGAGAGAUUUACUCUCACUUACAAAUUUUAGGUCAAAAUAGAGGGGGGGAAAUGAAAAUUUGGAUAAACAAGUAGAGAGGGAAUUGAAAAUUUUUGUAAGGUGGAAAUCAUUCGUUCAUCCCGUGUAAAUAACAAAAUCAAUGUAUUAUAAUAUCCAUAUAGUUGAAUUAUAAAUAAAUGAAUUUUUUAAAUUAUAUUUUUGUAUUUGAUUACAAAUAUUUCAUAUUAAAUAAAUUUUAAAAACAAUUUUAAUGUAGAUGUCAAUAUCUAAUUAUUUUAGUUAUUUGUGAAAAUCUUCAAAAAAUUAAAAAUUAAUCUGGUAAAUCUUUUUGACAAAAUAUAGUUGAAAUACAACUAUUUAAUAAAAAAUUAAUAAUUCUUUAAAAGUUAAAAUUCUCAUUUUCUCGAUGUAUUCCGUUUUUGUACUCUUUGUCUAAAUAAAAUAUACACAAAUUUUUAUUAUUCAUUUGUAAUAAGAAGAUAUUUGUGUGGUUCAAAUGUCAAUAUUAGUAUAAAUUUCAUAUUUACAAUAUAGGAUGUACUUAAUAGAAGUUUUGUGAUCUAUAUGAUUAACCCCGUAUUAAUUUUGAAAUAUUUUCGAUCAUCCAAACAUAUAAAGAUCUUAAUAUCUAUCAAUAUUAGUCAUGUAUAAUAUUUUUAAAUUUUUCUAUAUUUAUUUAUAUCUUGUUGUAACAAAACUAGUGAUGAUCGUUGUUUUUAUGUCAUUUCUUAUUUUUGUACUUUUUAUCAAAAAAUUAUAUUUAUAUUAUGCAUAUGUCCAAAUUUGUAUUAUUCAUUUGUAAUUGGAAGAUAAUUUUGUUGUUCGGACCUGAGUAUUACUAUGUGUUUUAUGUUCACAAUUUAGGAAGCACUAGAUAGAAUUUUUGUUAUCUACAAAAUUUGCUCUGAAUUAAUUUAUAAAUAUUUUUUUCGAUGAUAUAACCGUACGGAUGUUAAUAACUAACAAUAUUAGUCAUGCAUAAAAAAAUUAGAUUUUUUUAUGCUUAUUUUAUAUGCUUUUUUUACAAAACUAGUCAAUUGUAAAUUUUGUCUUAUUGUAAAAAGGUAAUUUUUGUCUUGUAGUGUCCAACAGACAACGGUACUUAUAGGCACGUGUGUUGUAUGAGUUAAAAUGACACAACUGUUAUGGACAUUAUACAGUCAUAACAAAAUCUAUUGUCUAAAAUAGGCUCAAACAAUGUUUCGGGAAAAACUCGUUGUGUGUAAGUAGUGUAGACAAUGGUUUCUGGGAGGCAAACCGUUGUAUAAUAAAUUUUCAUUUUUAAGAGUUAGAAAUUCACAUUUUCUUGAUUAGUUCUUGUUUUUGUACUCUUUGUCUUAACAAAUAUACUUAUAUUAUGUAUAUAUGCAAAUAUCAAUUGUCAUUUGUACUAUGAAGAUAAUUUUGUAGUUCGAACAUGAGUAUUGGUAUGUGUUUUAUAUUUACAAUUUAGAAAGUACUGAAUAGGAUCUUUGCUAUAUAUAAGAUUAGCUCCGUAUUAUUUUAUAAAUAUUGAUUUUGAUGAUCUAACCGUACGGAUGUCGAAAACUAACAAUAUUAGUCAUGUAUAAAAAAAAUCAAUUUUUUAUGUUUAUUUUGUAUGUUUUUUUUAACAAUACUAGUCAAUUGUAAAUUUUGUCUUACUGUAAAAAGGUAUUUUUUGUCAUGUAGUGUCUAACAUACAAUGGUUUUUAUAUGCACCUAUGUUGUAUAAUUGAAAAUGAUACAACUGUUACAGAAGUAUACCGUUCUAAGAAAAUCUAUUGUCUAAAUUAGGCUCAAACAACGGUUCACGGAAAAUCCGUUGUAAAAAAGUAGUGUAGACAACAGUUUAUGGGAAGGAAACCGUUGUAUAAUAAAUUUUCAUUUUUAUGAGUUAAAAAUUCGCAUUUCCUUGAUCAAUUCUUGAUCUAAUGCAAGAAAAACAUAUGACUAUCAAGAAAUUGAUUGUUUUGUUAUAACUUUGGUUAGGACUUUGAAUCUUUGCACUCUCUUAUGUACAUCCAUUUUCUUAAAAUUCAUUCAAUCAUACAACAUUUUAUUAGUUAGUAGAGGCUUGUCUAUAAUGCCAUGCUACAAUGCUAACAAAAACACUUGUAUGUUAGCUUCCCAGUCACACAACACUAUAUAAAACCCUUGUUUGAACUCCUCGUAAACAACACAACAAAUAAAACACUUGUCUAAUUACAACGACGGUUUCUUGAACUAUUGUCUGAAGUUUCUUCACACAUCGGCUCUCAAAACAGUUGUCUAACAUGCAUCAUUACACAAUACCACAGUUAAGAAACCAUUGUCUAAUUGAAUUUACUAGACAACAAUUUUUUAACCGUUGUAGGUCGUAGAUGUUAGACAAUAGUUUUUCGAGGCCGAAAAGAAAGUGUUGUGUCUUUUUUCCAAACAACGCUUUUUUCACCGUGCGUUGUCUGAUCAGUGUUGUCUAAUGGUGUUAUUGUUGUAGUGCAAGUUGGAUUUAUUUAAUGCUAAUAGGUACUUGUUCAAGUGAGGAGAUUUAACUGAGAUUCAGGUUCUGGCAUUUGUCUUGUGUUGUUAUUUGUUUAUGUACCGGUUUUGAGAGUCAUUAGAGAUAUGUAAGGUAUUUAUUCCUAUUUUUUAUUAUUAGUAUUACAUCGUUUUCGGGUAAAAUAAUCGAUGAUUGUUUGUUUUAACUGUGUAAUAGCCUUAUGAUCUGCCAACUUAUGUAGACAUGUGAUAAACAUGUUGACUGUGGUCAAUAUUUUAGAUGAGGUAGUGUGUUUGUUGUUAUUGCAAGACUUUUUGGAAUAAUCAUUGUCAAAAAGAACUAACGAUGAAUGGAAAUGAAGUUCUGAAGAAGUGAUGAUACAAUGUUAAAGAGAUUGCUUUUUGUUGAAUUUUUCUGACUCUGGAAUUAAACUGCGUUAGUAUCUUCUUCUCUGAUUUUCCUUAUUUGGUAGACCUACUACUUUCAGAAGAUACAUGUGGUAUUUGUUUGGUUGAUUAAUUUUGGUAAGAUACAGUUUCCGUUUGGAAUCAGACUAUCCAUUGAACAAUCAGACUAUCCAUUGAAGAUUUUAUGCUCGCUCUUAAAUGGUUGAUCCACUGAUCUUAUUCUUACUUCAUAUGAGCUAAAGCCAGCUCUAGGGGUGUUUCUCGCAUACAAAAAAAUUAAAAAAAAUAUUAUGAAACUAUACUUUGCAGGAGUCUCAAAAUAAAUAAGUGUAAACGAUAAACUUAAACACCUAACUUCUUAAACACCUAGCAUAACACGGGUGAGCAUAUGGUCAAUCAUACCAAAUUGAAUAAAUCGAAAUUAAAAUUUAAAUAUUUUUAGACUGGACCAAACUGAAAUAUUUUGUCCGAUCCAGUUCAGUAUGAUCGAAAAGAAUUGAUUCUUUUGGAAAAAGUAACUUAAUAUUAUAAAUAAAAUUAAGAUUUAUAAUUUAUUUAAAAACUAUCAAUGAAUCAUCAACACUUCUUCAAAAAUAGAUACAUUUGAAUUUAUACAUUAGAUAUUAUAACUUCUAAAAAGUAUAUAAAAAUAUAUAAUAUAAAUAUAAAUUUAUAGUAUAAUUUUUUUGACUAUUUAGAAUAUAUUUUUAACCCAAAUAUUUUUUUUUAAAAUCAAAUUUUAUUUCGAUGAACUUUUCUAGAAAAUUAAGAUAGAAACGAAACUCAUUCCUACAGUAAGGUUUCAGUUUUUCGGCUGCAAUACGGUUUUGCUCAUCAUUAGCAUAAAUGGAGUAUGUAGUAAAUAUGAAUGAAUGGCAUGGGAAUUCUUGGAAUGGUAUCAAGAAUUAAGAUUAAAGCACAUUAGAAGUUUAGAACCAUGAAUGUUAUUUUUGAAAAUAGUAAUCCCUCCGUUUCUUAUCACGUUUCUCGUUUGAUAUGUCGGAACGGUUCAUAAUAUGAGACAAAUUAGUAAUUUAUGUCCAAUUUAUAAAAUUAAAUAUAGUCAUGAGUGAUCUUGUUGGAUUCGUAUCUAUGAGUACUUUAAUAAGAUGAAAUUUUUAUAUUUAAUGUUAAUACAAAAUUAAAAUAUAUUAAUUAAAAAUAUAUAUUGACAAACGUGAUAAAAACAAACAGCAAAAAUAUUAAGAAACGAAGCGAGGGAGUAAUAAAUAUGCUUUAUGCUGAACUGAAUUGAGUGCGUGGAAGCUUGGGGAGGCAGCUUACUACAGUAUCUACGUGUAUCUGUAUAUGCAAUAAAGACACAAAUACUCACAGGAGAUUAUUUUUCAAACACUUAAUUUCCCCCUUUCCUUCUCGUAAUAUUCAACUCAAUUCAUCACAUCAUCUUCUUCAGACAAACAACUAUACUCACUUCAGAUCAUCACAUCAUCUUCUUCUUGACUUCAGAUCCACAUUUCAAACCCUAAUCAUUCGCUUGGUCCCCUCCCUCUCUGUAAUAAUACAAUUCUUUCUACACACAAACAAUAACAUCAUCAUCAUCGAGUGAAGCUUCAUAUCCACAUUCCAAGACCUAAUUACUCGCCAAACCACUCUCGCUCUCAUGGAGGAGGCCUUAGAAAUGGCGAGAUCGAAUGAUACCAAGAAGCGAAGGGCGGGAGUGGAUCGGCUGCAACAGCUUCUUGAAGAUUCAAGAAAGUGCUUGUCAUCGUCGGAAGUGACGGCGCUAGUCGACACGUGUCUUGAGCUUUUGAAGGACACGUGUGUUGCUGUCGUCGGCCGCGGAGUUGUUUAAGUUGCAUUCUGAUAGAAUUAUGACGGCGGUUGUUGAUAGGUUGUGGGAUGGGGAGCAGCGGGUUCGAGACUCGGCGAGGAGGCUGUUGAUUACCCUUAUGGAGGUAAUUUAUUAAUUUUCUUGGGGAAUGCCAGUUGAUUUUAUGGAAUGUGAUAUAGUAUAGUUUCUAUCAAUCGAGUAUCUUAAAUUGAUGACUACAACAAGUAUUAUCGUUUUGCACGCAAGUGGCUAAACUUUUAUGCAUGCCAAAUUGCCAAUCGGGUUUCAAUUUCAGAUCUCUGCCUUCACUUGCAUACGAACACAUUUGAGUUUAAAAAGAUGAAUCACCUCAUAAAUAUCAUUAAUAAUUAGUUGGUGUUAAUAGUGCACUGAAAAAUGGGAGAGAAUGACAAGACUAUAGACAGUAGUAGGGCUGAGCGAGAUGUUAAUUGAGUACUUAUAUGAUGCUUCACUAUGUUCAGGGAGUUAGUUUAUUGCUUCUUUCCUACACUUUCACUUGAAUUAGUACUAAUUAAUAAUUCCUUCUCUAUCUUGUAAAAUUUCUCCUUCAUUGCUAAGCAUAUCUACUCUGAUUAAUUUUCAAACAAACUUUACUACUGAGAUAGGAUUGUUUGCUGGGUAGGAGCACCAUAGAAUGAGUAGCUCUAUUGCUAUAUACUGAAGGGUGCGGUGGCAUCCUCGGUUAUAUUUUAAGUGCUACUUCGAAUUUAGUUGUUGGCUUUUGCAAUUUAUUUUCAUUCACAAUGUUUUAAUAAUGAUACCCCAUAUUAGGUGAGAGAUAUUAGUGCCAGGCUGGAGCAGAUUCAGAUUCAACCAGCAACUUCCGUCUCUUCCAUCUCUGAAGGACUUAAUAGUAAUCUUCUCCACCAUGCACCUGAUUUAGAAGUAUAAUGUAUUAAUGUGAACUUUUUAUUUAUAUUUAUUUCCAUGUGUAGUAAAACGAUCACAUCUUUUAAGAGCUUAGUACAAUGUUAUGUACAAUGUGUAAUUAAUUAAGAGGUUUGUACAUAGUUUAGUAUGAAAUGGAAAAAGUUUGUACAGAAGUUUAUUUGUUCACAUUACAGCUGAGACGAGCAAGCAAAAACCAUCAGAGAAUUCAAAGGAUAAUGAUAAAGGAAUUGAGCCCCUACUGGAACUGCCGGAAGAUAUUAUCUUUCUACAAAUUCUGCCUAAGUUGAACAGCCUAGAUGUUCUUCCCCUGGUUUUGGUGGCUAGGAGUUGGGCCUCCUUUCUUUUGCAUGAGGGACCCAGACUGAUGUUAUUCAACCCACCUAAAAAUCCUACACCUAAACACACUUCAAUUUUAUUUGAUGUAAGCCCGAUUCCGUACUCUGUUUCAGUUUUGUUAUCCCCAGAGAGCCGCCAACUGUGUCAGUCUAGGUGUAUAAUUGUUCCAAUCUUGAAUUCUGGUAUAAAACAUGCUGUUCCAAUUUUCACUGACUACCCAGAUUUUUUAAAGCAGGGGGAAGUCCCAACUGUAGUGGGAUCUUCCAGUGGUAUUAUAUGCCUCUAUAUCACCAGUUCUCCCUCUAGAUACAUCCUGCUAAACCCCUUAACAAAACAUUAUAAAGAGGUUGGGGCCCCUUAUAUUUUUGUACCAGAUUGUGAGCAAGCUUCUGUAACUUCUGGAUUCUUUUAUGAUGAAUGGACUGAUGACUUAAAGAUCGUACAAUUGUUGAGAUGGGAUCAAAGGCUUACGAGCUUGGAUGCUCCGGGACCCAAAAAGAUACAUGCGCUUCGCGUUUGUUCUGUAAAUUCUGCAAAUUGGGAAGUUGUUGACUUGGGGCCAAUGAAAGUCUCCGAUCGUCUUGGUGGUGUGUUAUUUUUGCCGAAAGCUCUCGUCACAUUUGUAGAUGCGUUUGCUACAGAGCCGGAGAUUAACUUUUGGUUGGAUUUUCGUGAUUGCCGUCUAAAGGCAGUUCCGGAAUUAGAAGGGGCUGAACUCAGUAUGAAAUCGGUUUGGUGGAAUAACCAGGUUGGUGUUAUUGUUGGAACUGACAGCAUUUAUGUCCUUGAUGAGGAGUUUGCAGCCUGGUAUUACUGCACAGUGCUUCCGGACGUGGGAAAUUGUGUAUUCUGUUUAGAUGAGAACAAAAUUGUGGGGAUGGGGGCUGGGGAAAGCGGAAGCGUAAAUGAUUACAAUAUUCUUAAUUCCACAAGCGGCGAAAUCCAACAUAUAAUCUCGUUGCCUUCUUGCAGGGUUUUUCCGUAUGUUCCUACAUUCUACUAUAUCGAGGGAAUGGCUAAUUUUUAGACUUUUGCAAGUCACAAUGUAAUAAAAGAAUGUAAACAGUACAUAGCAGCAAUACCUCUCUAUAGCAUAUAGUUUCAGAUACAACAUGUAUUGUGAUGCCAGCUUGUAGAGUACAAGUAUUAUUCUAGGUGAUUGAUUGUUGAGAAUAAUAGAGGCAACCGGUUGCAUGAUGGUAUCCUUGAAACUUUCAUAAUUACUAAUAUCGAACUCAGAUAGCAUGCAAUUUUUCCGGAGAUCAUAUUCUUUAGCUAUCAACUAACUCUACAUUAUAUAUUAUGUCCCAGAUCAAUGAGUUUGUUUGCUAUAAUGUCCUAUUUUAUAUGUGAUUUAGGAAUAUGUUCCAUUAACUUGUUAUCACCCUCAAAUCUAAAAUCUAAGACUACCAUGUCCUUAGUUUAUUUUGUUUAAUAUUUGUGAAUAGACUCUAAUCUGAUCAUAUCAAUUAUAUUUUAGUAACAGAUGUUUAAAUGCAUAUGUUUUUGUUAUCUAGUUAUUUCAAUGAUGAUGGGAUUAAAUUUUUUUAUUCUUGUAAUAUGUACAAUGAUUGGUUUAGCUUUAAUAUUUAUUUUUAUUUUUAUUUACCAAUUUUAAUGUAGGUAAAGUUUUAUCAGCAAAUUUUAUUUUUUGUAUGCAGUAAUCUGUUCUAAUAUCAAAUUUUGAUUUAGAUCGAGUAUUAGUAUGUUGAAUUUGCAUUCAUCUAGUUAGAUGAGUGAAACUGGCUAAUUAAUGGAAAAUCAUAAGUACCUGAGUUGUUUUCAAAUUUUUUUCCCAAAUUUUAAUUGUUUGAUUGGUUUCUUCAAAUUAAUAUUAAUGGAAUCAUGAACGCACAUAAAUAAUUUAAUUAAAAAUUAUUUAUUUAUGUGUCAUUUAGAAAAAAUUGGGGACAAAAUUUGGGAUAGUAAUGGGGACGAAAUAUGUGUUAGCGUUAAUGGUUUAGCGGCAGUGGAGAACGCAAUUUAAGAGCAAAUCCAAUAGUGUCCUAAACUAGUAUCCUAAAUUAAAAAUUAAGGUAUUUAUAUAAAUGAGUGCUCCACCUAAUGAGUGCUCCACCAAUGUCCAGUGAUACCUUAAAAUACUAGGAAAUCCAUCAAGCGUCUCGUUUUUAAGACAUCACUAGGCAUGCCCUAUUUCACUUCUAUCAAUAAAAUAUAUCUUUCCCUCGUUUUUUACAGAUCUCUUCUCUCUCAUUUUUUCCAUUUAUGCCCAAUUAUAAUUCAAAUAUAAUACACCUUCAGUCCCUUUUUAGUUGUGAAAUUUACAAAAAUAAUUUGUCCUUAAAUAAUAUUCUCAUCCUUGUUCCAAUACAUAUUUAUACAUAUUUUUUCAUGUUUACCCCUUGAUUGUUGGUUCAAAUGUUUGACUGUACUACUAAUAUAUACAGUUUUGACUUAGUAUUUAAUAUAAUAAAUAAGGGCAUGCGUGGAAACAACUUACAACAUUUAAUUUUCUUUAAUAUAUGUAUUUUUGCAAAUGUGACAACUAAAAAGGAACAGAGAGAGUAUUAUUUUAAUCAUAAAACAUAUUGUUGGAGUUAAUAUAAAAAAAUCAUGUCUUAAAUCAUAAGAUUACUAUAUUUAAUUAUAUUUAUAAGGCAUCUAAUAGUACAAUAUUGGAUUUGCUCUGAUCACAGAUCAAUCAAAUGAUCGGCAACUUAAGCGAUCAAAUGAGAUGACUCGCAUAGUCCACGCUAAUCGAUAUCCUUAAGAGGAUGUUUGCCUGGGCUUAAAGCCCUUGCUUUAAGCCAUCUUUGGCUUUAAGCUGAAAAAUGUCUGUUUGUGUAAUAAGUCAGAAGCCAGCCUAAAGUCAGAAAUAAGCCAGAAGCUGACUUAAAGCCAGAAGUUAAUUUGAGGUACUUUUUUCAGUGGCUAAAUUUUUUUGAACUUUUUUUUUGAUAAAAAUUACUCCUAAAUCAUAAGUUUCUUAUAAAUCACUUUUAUUUUUAUUAUUAUAUUUUUAAUAACUCAUAAGUCAUUCAUAAGCCAAAAUUACCCAAACAGACAUUUUAAGCUAUCAGCUUAUCAGAUAAGACACGUUAAGUCACAAGUCACAUUAAGUCAUAAGCCAUAAGCUCAGCCAAACGGGCAAGUUUUCUAAGAGACAUUCCUGCUUAGUGCAUUUUUAAUAGGGUUGCCUAAAUCGUUGACGAAAUUGGACAUGUGAGACAUUAUAUAAAAUUUGUUAAACAUGUAAGUGAUUGUGUUUCAAUAAUGUUAACUACAUUGAUAGAUUAUAACUUAAAAAUAGUAUGUUAUUAAUAUUUAGAUUGUUAUAAAAAAAUAUAUGAGUUUAAUAUGAUAGGAAAUGAUGUGUAAAUUACCCCGAUUAUAUAUAUAUAUAAAUAAUAAUAUAUUUAUAUAUAUUAUACUAAAUAUAUUAUUAAAAAUAGAUAAAUUUUAUAAUAUAAUCAAAAGUAAAAAAUAAUCUUUAUUUUUAUUGAUUGAUUAUAAAUAUAUUGUAAUAUAAUAUAUUUUAUAAUUUUAAAUUGUUGUUUAUUUAUAUUAUAAAUCAAUUUUAAUAUGAUUUGAGGUUGAAAAUAUAAGAUAAUAUUAUUUUAUUAUUAUAUUAGGAGUUUGUAGUUUGUUUUUUAAUUAAAAAAAUAUAUUAUAUAUUAUAAAAUUAUUAUGUUUUUAUUAAAAAAUAAAAUUCCCCGAAACCCCGCGGGGAUCCCCGUUCCCCGUUCGGGGCGGGGAUCGGGGCGGAAAAUAAUCCCCGUUCGAGGUUCGGGGCGGGGUCGGGUAGGGCCGUAGGGGUAUUGAAUUCGGGGAUCGGGGUCGGGGAUAGCACUCCCCGCCCUCGAAGUCUCCCCGUGCCCAUCCCUAGUCGAACCUCUAGAGGUCCGUAAAAAAUCUCCAAGAAGAUUACACUAUGUAAUCUUCUUGGAGAUUUUUUACGGACCUCUAGAGGUUCGACAAAUAUAGUGGCCGGUAGGAUGUUGGUUAAAAUUAUAGAUAAGUGGUGUCUAUGGUUGAGUGUGAUUUUUUUGAAUAGAAUGGCUAUAUAUUUUAUUUUUGGGAUGCCAACUCAAUUUUUAAACUAAGGACUUCUCAUAUUUGGAGAUGCUAUAUGAUGGCAAAUCCCGCAAAUCUUCAAUUUUGACAUAUAUUAUCCUAAAUUCUCUUUCAACAAUGAUUGAUUCAAAUUUGGAUCAAGAUUGUUGGAUCCCGCUGACGUGGCAGUGACGUCAUGUUGACGUGGCGCCCUGGGGUGGACCCCGGUGCUGACGUGGCAGAUGACGCGGCGGUGACAUGGCGCCUGGUUGGGGUCCCAUUACUAACGUGGCAUUUGGGUAGAAAGUAUAAAUUACGGAAAAUUGAUGACAAACUGAGAGGUGCAUAUUAUAAGUUUUAAAAAGUAUGAGGAGAUAUUUGAUCAGUUUAAAACUAGUUUUUAGGUUUUUAGGCUAACCGUGGUUUGUAUAUUCGAGCAUCCCCGUGUAUAUUGACAUAUAGGUAAACUCCUUGCAAUACUUUGAGCUGCAAAAUCCAUCAAAAUUUUGAUUUAUCAUGUAACUGUUUGACAGAGUACUUCCAACUUUCAAGCGUAAGUAUCAAAAUCACUACCUUCAUAUGUUCCAUUAAGCGUGAAAGGUACAGAAUAAGAAGUGAAAGAAAUCCUUUAUAUUUACACGGCCAUUGAUCUUAUAGGAUCACCUAGCCCAUCAGUGCUAGGGAAUACGGAACCAUCUUAUCAAUUAACGAAGAAAUGUAUGCAUGCAGUGUCACCACCACAAGUCAGAAAUGGUGAUGAUGCUAAUGAUAAUGAACUCAAUUGGGAGUGAUCCUAAUGGGAUAUGGAUGUGGAUUGGUAUGCGGAUUCUUUGGGGUUUAUUGUUCUUACAAUGGGAAAGCCUUGGUGGUUUAUGAGAUACAUUGAAGUAAGUUGAUAAUGACAUGCACGGCUUAAUUAAGAUUAAUUAAGACAAACACCUUGACAAAAUGUUGUCUUAGAAUGAUAUGUAUUCUGAUUUUUCCUAAUUUAAAAUCAAAUUUAUUACAAUUAAAGUUAAAAUCUGCGUAGCACAUACUAUACUUUGAUUAAAUUUUUAUUGAAGUUGUCCAUAUUAACCUAGUGGCCGAAAGUGAAUAAAUUAAAUUAGUGGGGUCUAAUAUAAAAAUUGCAUUAAUUAAAAUUUGUAAUGUAUAGAUUAUGCUAAAGCUAUUCAUUAUAAAGAACAUAGGAAUGUUAAUCUCUUUAUAUGUUUGCAUGCGGAUAGUCUCUCGGGAGUGUGGUAUAUUGUCAUGGCUGGAAAAACGGCUAAUUUCUACGGUUUUUUUUUGACAGAAAUUAAUUUUGACGGAAUACUGUCGAAAUAUCGAAAGUCGAAAAUAAGCCGCAAAAUUACUUUUUUCAAUUUUCAAUUGAAAACUGUCAAAAAAGUCUCUGGCAAAAUUAUAUUUAUUUCUACAGAUAAUGUCGAAAAUAUUUUCCUGCAAAUUUCCCGCACCUUAGUUGUGAGCGGAAAUAGAUAGUUUGGACAGAAUUCCGUCGAAAUUACGCGAGUUCUUUGUAGUGUGUUUUCACACAUACGCUGAUAAUCUUUGGGGACUGGGGUAUAUUGUUUUCGCAAAGCACUGGUAGUUUGUGAGCUUGUCCAAUUUUUCCCCCCAUGCCUAUACUGGUUGGUCUCAGUCUUAGUGGUAAUAAGCUGGCGUCAAAUUUUCCAGAAUUCAUAUAUAAUUGCUAUAACAUGAUCCGAUGCCUGAAUCAGCAGCUAACAAUUUACGUAAUCUUGAAGAACUAUAUCUUGGUGCCAAUUCUUUCGAGGGCUCAUUUCCAACGAAUAUAUUCAAGCUUUCCAAAUUAAGGGUUCUUGACCUAUCUGUGAAUAAUUUUUCAGGUUCCAUUCCCAAUGGUAUAGAGAUGCUUCCCGAUCUUGGAAUAAAUCGUAUUUAUAAUAAUUCAUUUGAAGGAAUUAUUCCUUCUUCAAUUAGUCUACUUAAAGAUCUUCAACACCUAGACUUCGGUGACGACAACCUUGUGGUUUCAAGUAUAAUGUCUUACGGGUCCAAUCUAACCGAUCAUUACAGGCAACCCCAUUGGAGAUGCUCUUAAUAACAUUUUAACUAGAGAGUAUUUUCUAUCAAUUGCAUUUGUAUUAAAUUUGAUUUAGAUGAAGAGAAACAGAAUACAUAUGAUCCCGAGACAACAUUUUGUCAAUGUUUUCGUCUUGAUUGAACAGUCUUCUUCAUGCGUGUCCUUGUCAACUUCAGUUGCAGUAAUUCAAUGUAUCUCAGGAACCACCUUGGCUUUCCCAUUUUGAUAACAAGUAUCCUGAAGAUAAUCCGCAUAUCAAUCCACAUCCGCGCGUAUCCCAGUUGAUUUAUUAAUUUAUUCAUGAAGUGUUGCGAACGACAUUCCUGCAAAAGUAAAAGUCAGUGGAAUUUGUAUGAUAGCAUGAUGAAUAUUUAAAGUUUCAGUUAAAAUUUCACCAAGUAUUUUAUUUCUGGCUUAAGUCCCGGAUUGACGAAUUCUGCUGAUCACAUUUCUAAUCGACCAAUUCUGGUCGAAUAAAUUAAAUGGCACACUUCCUGAGUUGGUGGUAGGGGCGUUCUUCUUGUGUUUCUUUCUUUUCAUUAUUGACAUUGUUAUCCAGGCCCUUGCUUCUGGGCUUUUGUAAAGCACCCAUUUACGCCAUUGUCAUGAUCAUAGCUAGUCUUCCAUAUCCAAGAUACGCGCAUUAUAGUGGAUUUAUCUUUAUUAGUGAUUUCUGUGGAAAUGCAUAAUCUUAAUUAUAAGCUCCAAUAUUAUAAAAUAAACCUAACUUAUUAGAGUUAACAGGGCAUUUGUGUUGAUAAUUUGCGCAAUGUUAAUGGGGAUCGCUCCCAAGUCUUGGACGGACUCUUUCCAAGUCUUCUGAGGACCCAUCUGCACACUAAUUUGUCCGCCAACUAAAAAUUUAUAUAUAUUUUUCCAUAGAAUAUAAAUAGUUGGGGGUACUAACAGAACCUCUAGUAAAAUUAAUUAAUACCGUUAUGAUUUCGCAAACACAGCAGACAGCAGGCAUAAGGCUUAUAAAUAGAAGUGUCGUAUUUGGUUGAUGGUCAAGUUGAGUGGAAAUAUGGCACACUUUGUAAAGCCUUGUUAUCCUCUUCUCUUUGUUUUCUUUCUCUCAUUACUUCAAUCCAUUCUAACAACACAAGAGGGAGAAGCUCUUGUGAAAUGGAAGAAUAGCCUAGCCCCUUCUUCUUUUCUCGACUCUUGGUCACUCACCAAUCUCGAUAAUCUUUGCAACUGGACUGGCAUUACUUGUAACUCUGCAGGUUCAGUCUCUGAGAUUAACCUUAGUGAGAAACAACUUGAUGGAAUGCUGUCCGAGUUUGGUUUCACUUCAUUUCCAAAUCUCAACAAUCUCACCCUCGCAAUUAACUACUUCUCGGGUCCAAUACCACCAGCCAUUGAGAAUUUAACACAGCUUCAAUAUCUUGAGUUGAGCAAUAAUUAUCUAGAUGGUCCCAUUCCUUUCCAGGUUAGCAAUCUUCAGAGGUUGCUCAUCUUAAACCUGUCAGAGAAUGAACUGCAAGCUCCAAAUUGGUCCAAUUUUUCCCCCAUGCCUUUUUUGACCAUCCUCGACCUUUAUAAAAAUAAUCUUUUGUCAGAAUUUCCCGAAUUUAUAUCUAACUCGUGUAACCUUACGUACCUUGACCUCUCAUCCAACAAGUUUAGAGGGGAUCUUGCGCGAGAAUCAGUAUUAACCAAUCUAGGUGAUCUUGAAACCCUCUAUCUUAUUAGAAAUUCUUUCAAGGGGUCAUUUCCGUCAGAUUUAUUCAAGCUUUCUAAAUUAAAACGUCUUCACCUGUCGAGCAACAAAUUUUCAGGUUCAAUUCCUAAUGCCAUAAGGUUGCUUUGUGAUCUUGAAUUCCUAUAUUUAGGCAACAAUUCCUUUGAAGGACUGCUUCCACCAAAUAUAUUUAAGCUUUCAAAAUUAAAACAUCUUGUUCUUCGGAGUAAUAAGUUUUCAGGAUCUGUUUCCAAUGAUAUAAAUUUGCUUCCUGAACUUGAAUAUCUCGAUCUUAAUUCUAAUUUUUUUGACGGGCCGCUUCCUCCAGAUGUAUUCAAGCUCUCCAAACUAAGGUUUCUUUACCUCUCGGGUAAUACCUUUUCACGUUCUGUUUCCAAUGAUAUAGGUUUGCUUUCUGAGCUUGAAACCCUCGAUCUUAACUCUAAUUUUUUGAGGGUCCGCUUCCGUCAAAUAUAUUCAAGCUCAAAUUAAAAAUUCUAGACCUCUCAAACAAUAGAAAUUUAUUUCAAAGAAGUUUUCCUAUUGGACUGGAACUCUUGAGUAACCUCAGCUACUUAGGUCUAAGUUCCAGUAAUCUCAGUGGCAAUAUUCCAUCUUACAUUGGAAACCUGAAGCUACUAAUAUCUCUUGAUCUCAGUUCUAAUCAAUUGACUGGACCGCUUUCAAAGCUCGUUUCUAAUGUCACAAAUCUUAUAUUUCUUGAUUUAAGAGAUAAUAGUCUUAGUGGAAAUAUUCAGACUGACUUGUGGAAAUAUAACGAUCAUCCAACUCUGGAAUACAUCAAUUUGAGUGGGAACUAUUUUACGGGUAUAGUUUUUCUCUAUAGAUCUUUUCUUUUGUCAUAUGUAACUAAGCUAGUAAUCUGAUUAAUUGCAGUUUUACCAAAGUUUCAACAAUCUUGACAGGUGAGCUUCCAACAACAAUUUGCAAUGUCACUUCCCUUUCGGUUCUUGAUUUGUCAAAUAAUAACUUAAGUGGUGCACUUCCAAAAUGUUACGGGAAUCUUGCUGAUGGAUUGCUUUACAUUAAUCUUGCGAAUAAUCACUUUCGAGGAACAAUACCCACUACUUUCUCCAGGAGUUGUCAGCUGAUAUAUCUGAACAUGGAUGAUAAUGAGUUUGAAGGAUUGAUGCCCCCAUCUUUGGCGAACUGUAAGCACUUGAAAAUUUUUGAUAUUGGCAAUAAUAAAAUAGGUGGUACAUUUCCGUCAUGGCUUUAUGCACUUGGAGAGCUAGAAGUCCUUGUCUUGCGAUCAAAUAAACUCUAUGGUACAAUAAGUGGAAGGAGCAUAGAAGAUCCCUUCCCCAAGUUGCGGAUUGUGGAUCUGUCCAACAAUCAAUUCACAGGCCAUUUGCCAAUUCAAUACUUUAAGAAUAUGAAAUCAACUGAUAAUUUGUAUCGUUAUCAGAAUGACACAGGAGUUUUUUCUUUCCAUUAUGAAGCAUCUGUCUCAUUAACUGUGAAGGGAACAGAGUAUGAAGUGAAAAAUAUCCUUCAUAUUUACACAACCAUUGAUCUGUCCUGCAACAAGUUUCAAGGAGAAAUUCCUGACGUUAUUGGAGAGCUUAGAUGGCUUGCAUUGCUGAACUUAUCUCAUAAUAGUCUAACAGGACAUAUCCCAUCAUUGCUGAGAAAUAUGAAAGGACUCCAAUCUUUAGAUUUGUCUUCAAAUCAACUGAAAGGGGCUAUUCCACUUCAGUUAACUGCAUUGACAUUUCUAGAGGUCUUGAACCUCUCGGGAAACCAUCUUAGUGGAGAGAUUCCUCAGAAAGGGCAGUUCAGCACAUUUAACAUUGAUUCUUAUCUAGGAAACUCCGCGUUAUGUGGUUCACCUUUGAUGAAGAAAUGUGCAAACACAGCAUCACCUCCACAAGAAGCCGGAAAUGGUGAUGAAGAUGAAGCUGGUGAUGAAUUGACAUGGGAAGCAAUCGUGAUGGGAUAUGGAUGUGGACUGAUAUGUGGAUUGUCAUCUGCAUACAUUGUUCUCAAACUAGGAAAGCCUUGGUGGUUUGUGAGAUAUAUCGAAGUACUGCAACAGAAGUUGAUGAAAAGAUAUGCAUGAAGAAAGGUACUGGUAGAUCAAGAUGAACUUGAAAGUUGUUGUCGUGGUAGACAUUUGUGAACCAGUAGUGUACUAGCUGCAUAAGUAUUUGGUAUUAUGUAAUAAUCCGUUUGGUCGGGACUCAAAAUGAUUUCUCUUGCUUCAGGGGUAUUAAUAUUAACCUUGCUAUCUUGAUCAAUGUUAGGGCAAAUUAAAAAGAAUAUAAAAGCAAAAAAUUUGCAUCAAACACCUGUUGUACCAACAUGCAUCCAUUAAUUUGCUUUCAUCUAUUAAGUAACAAUUUAAGAGCGCUUCCACUCUGUUUAAGCAUGGAGAUAACACAAAGAAGGCAAGUCCAUGGACUAAUAUAUUAACACGUAGUCCACAUCUAUGGUAUGAACAAUUCAUAUUGCUCUUCUAUCUGUUCAACAGUCUCCCGAAGAUAGGCCAAAAAUGUCAUCUGUGGUUCUUAUGUUUGUCAGUGAAGGAGAAUCUCUGAUGCCUACACAACCUGGUGUUUUUACAGAAAGGAAUGUAGGUGAAACCAGGGGCGUAAAAUGAAUCAGGACUAAAAUCUGCUAAAAUGAUAAUUAUUUACUCAUCAUUCAAGAUUAGUCGGGCUCAAAGAUUUAUAUGGAUUUUAAGAACAAACUAUGACUAAAUAUGAAAAAAUCAUUAAUUUUUCCGACUCAAUAUUUUUUAGCCUCCCCCGGCCCUGGGUGAAACCAUAAGCUUCUCUGGUGCACAUCCAAAUCAUUCAGUUGGUUCUACUUUCAGCUCACCCACAGGAACAUCAUUCUGCAGGUACUCUUUUAUCUGUACUUUCUUAUAUUGUAUGCCAGUAAAUUUUAUAUCGACAAACUGCACAAUACACCUCGAUCUCAUAUUAUUGACAGGUGAGCUCCUCUCAUAAUGCUCACAGGCGAACCCCUGCAUAUAUACUUUGUGAUGUCAUUGAUGAUCGAUAGACUUGAAAAAAAAUUAUGACAAAGAUUCAUAAAAUAUCUACUUCCAUCCUAAUUCAGUAUUCAAUAUUAUUCAUUCGUAUCAUCAUCCAAUCAAUUCUAAUAGUUCUUCUUUAAAUCAGUACAAAUAUUGUUAAAUACCUGGAUGAUGGUUGUCUUUCCGCGAACCAAUCAUGAAAUUACCUCUGUAUAAAUCCAUCGGAAAUAAGACAGUUAAUAUCCCAAUCGAAUACACCCCGUCAGUUGUCAAACUCCUCGAAACGUAUUAAUCACUUUAGAAAAUUUGUUCCACUGGCGCUAGUCAGUCCCAGAGUUGGUGGUGGGUGCUUCUGGGCUUUCGAAAAGCACCCAUUUACUCCAUUGUUUAGAGAAGUAAAACCCCACCUUCCGCUCAUUUGAUUGAUCAGCUGAAUUAGGCAGAGUUUACAUGGUCAUGAUCAUAGUCUCCCAUNUUAAUAGUCUGACAGGACCUAUCCCAACAUUGCUGAGAAAUAUGAAAUAACUCCAUUACUCCAAUCUUAGAUUUGUCCUCAAAUCAACUGACAGGGGCUAUUCCACCUCUGUUAACUGCAUUGACAUUACUUUUCUCUUUAUAUUCUUUCCUUUUGUAUGUACCUAUGCUAAUUAUCUGAUUAUUAAAAUUAUAACAAAGCUUCAAGAUUUUUAACAGGUGAGCUUCCACUAAAAAUUUGCAAAGUCACUUCCCUUUCGCGUCUCAUUAUGUUAGAUAAUGGGUCAAGUGGUGCACUUCCACAGUGUUUGGGGAACCUUUCUUUGCUUGGUUUCAAUAAUCUUGCUAAUUAUCAAUUUCAAGGACCAAUACCAACGACUGUCCAAGACUUGUCUGUGCAUAUCUAAACAUCCAUAACAAUCACUUUGAAGGUUUGUUGCUCCAAUCUUUGGCAAACUGUAAACACUUACAAAUUCUUGAUAUUGGAAACAACGUUGGAGAGCUAGAUGUCCCAGUUAGGGCGGUAAUUCGACUAGAGCAAACCGAGUUUUGAGCGGAGCCAAAUUCGAGCCAAGUUUAAUCGAGUCGAGCCGAGUCGGCUCGUUUAGCUAAUCGAGCCUAAAACUUAGCCCGAACUCGACUCAUUUAAUUUCACGAGUCGAGUCGAGCCAACUCGUUUAGCUAAAUGAGCUGAUUUUAACAAGUCGAGCGAGCGAGCUCGUAUAAUUUUAACUUAGUCGAGCCUGAAUCUCUACCCAAACUAUUGGCUCGUGUAAUUUCGCGAGUCGAAUCGAGCCGGCUCGUUUUAUUAAACAAGCCGAAAUUUUUGCCCGAAUUUGCUCGUUUAACAAGCCGAUCUGAGCCUAGUUAAAUGAGUUCGAGUUAGUCGAGCUCGCGAGCUGCGAGCUCACCUGCCAGCUCUAGUCCUAGUCUUGCAAUCAAAUAGGUUUAACGGUAUAGAAAGUGGAAGGAGCACAAGGCAUCCAUUCCCCAAGGCUAUUUACCAAUUCAGUACUUUGAGGAUACAAAAUCAUUCUGCAGGUACUCUUGUAUCUGUACUUUCUUGUACUGUAUGCCACUUUGACAGUAGAGUAAAAUUUAUAUCGACAAACUGCAUAUGUUCUGAACUACUCCUCUAUCCCAAAUUAGAUGAGCUAGUUGACUUUGAGCACGUAACUUAAGGUACAUUGACCAACUAGUUCCGAUAUUUAUUUUUUUAAUUUUUCUUUUGUAAAUGAAAAUUUCAUAUUUAAAUUUUUAUUUGCAAAACUAAAAUUUAAAAAUAUGUAAUGUGGCUAUGCGGUCAAUGUCAACGAGCUCAUCUAAUUUGGGAUUGGGAUGCAGGGAGUAUUACGUACUAUGUUAUGCAAGCUGUUUACAACUUUCAUCAAAAUUUUCAAACAUUUCUGAAUAUGUAUUUUCAAAGAAUUCUCGGGCACUCUUAAGGCCUAUAAUUAUUGGAACUCUCACGUUAUGGACCAGAGGACCACUAUGUAUUUUACAAGCACGACGAAUCAUGUGGUCAUUAUGGACUCCCCAAGCCUUAGAGGACUCAUUCCAGGUUUUAGGAGGACCACUGCCUAGCUCACCCUUUCGGAGUGAUGUAAAUUAGUUUCCAGACACUAAAAAUAAGUAAUCAGAUUAAUCAUUACAAAAUUUUGAUAUAAAAUCAGAAUAAAUCCUAAACUUUGAUGAUACAAAAAAAAUUAUAAUUGUAAAUUAUACAAUCAAAUUAAGAUCGAAUUAACUUCCCUCACACUUAAAAUUUAUAGCGAUCAAAUCAAAAUCGAAUUAACUUUCCUAUUACUAAAAUUUAAUUACAAUAUUAUUAGAUAAAGAGAAUAUAUAAUAAUCAAGAGAAAAUAGAUUUUUUUUUGCCACUCAACUUAUUGUGUUUUAAGAAACUUACCACCCAACUAAAUUUUUUUCCUUUUGCUCACUAAUGUUAGGUUUGGAUUUGUUUUUAGCCACCAAAUAAGGUUCGGAUUUGAUUACCAGCAUUAUGAUAAUUUUUUUUGUCACUAAACUUAUUGCGUCUUUAGAAACUAACCACUGAACUAAAUUUUUUUUAUUUUACUCACUAAUGUUAGAUUUAGUUUUUUUUGUCACUAUAGUUAGGUUCAGAUUUGAUUAUUAGCAUUACAUUAAUUCUGUGUAGCAUUUUUAAAAUAUGGUAGUAGUCUGUGAUAUUUAGAUGAUUUGAUAUAUGUCUGUAUUUUUAUAUAUAGUAUAUUUUAUGUCCCCAAGGUCGUUUACCUUGGGUCAUAAAAAUUUUACACUCAUUUUAUGACUUUUAAAAGAUGUAGUUUCAUAAAUAAUUUUAUUUUUUUCUUUCGAAUUAAAAUUCAGCAUUUGAAUUUUACACACAAAAAAAUCGCAAGAAUAAGAUAUGAAACUAUGCUUUACAAGAGUCUUAAAAUACGUGCUAAACGGUAGAAAAAACUGUAAACUAAUGAGAGGUACAUAGGGAGUAAUAAUAACAUAAAAUGAUGCACAAUCAUCGAAUUAAGUUUUCCUCUCUCUAUAUAUUUAUUUUGUAAAUUUUAAUAAGAUAAAGUUAUUAAAAUUUAUGAUAUAAAUUUAAGAGAUAUCUUAGAUUGAGUGGCAAAAAUUUAGUUGGGUGGUAAGUUUCUAAAAACACAAUAAAUUGAGUGGGAACAAAAUCUAUUUUCCCAAUAAUGAGUGGGAAUAAAAUCUAUUUUCCCAAUAAUCAAAGUGACGAAAAAUCAAAGUCAUCUAAUAAGUCCAGAAAAAAUAUGACCAUUAGUAUAUUGAAAUAAUAUUCACGCAUUUAUAUACGAGAAUAUAUGGUCCACAAGUUAGUGCACAAUGUCCAAGAAUCUUUAUCAAAUAACACGGCAAGCAUGCAGCAUAUAAAUAAGAGUGGGCAGUAUGGUAUUGCAUUCAUAACCCACUUGAGCAGAAAUAUGGCACACUUCCUAAAGCCUUCUCACCUUCUUCUCUUUGUUUUCUUUCUCUCGUUACUUCAAUCCAUUCUACCAACAAGACCAGAGGGAGAAGCUCUUGUGAAAUGGAAGAAUAGCCUAGCCCCGUCUUCUUUUCUCGAUUCUUGGUCACUAACCAAUCUCGAUAAUCUUUGUAACUGGACUGGCAUUACUUGUAACUCUGCAGGUUCAGUCUCUGGGAUUAACCUUUAUGAGAAACAACUUGAUGGAAUGCUGUCCGAGUUUGGCUUCACUUCAUUUCCGAAUCUCAACAAUCUCACCCUCGCAUACAACUUCUUCUCGGGUCCAAUACCACCAGCCAUUGAGAAUUUAACACAGCUUCAAUAUCUUGAUUUAAGCAUCAAUAGUCUCGAUGGUCCCAUUCCUUUCCAGGUUAGCCAUCUUCAGAGGUUGCUCGUCCUAAACCUGUCACAGAAUGCAUUGCAAGCUCCAAAUUGGUCCCAUUUCUCUUCCAUGCCUUUUUUGCGCAUCCUCAAGCUCAGUAGGAAUCAUCUUGUAUCGAAAUUUCCAGAAUUUAUAUCCAAUUCUCAUAGCUUGGCUAUCCUUGACCUUGGCCAGAACAACUUUACAGGUGAUCUUGUGCGUGAAUUUACCAAUCUACAAAAUCUUGAAACCCUCUGGCUUUAUCGUAAUUCUUUUGAGGGGCCAUUUCCGCCGGAUAUAGUCCAGCUUUCCAAACUAAAAGAUCUUGCCCUGUCAAGUAACAAAUUUUCAGGUUCAGUUCCCAAUAACAUAAGGUUGCUUUGUGAUCUUGAAUACCUAUAUUUAGGCAACAAUUCCUUUAAGGGGCCACUUCCACCAAAUAUAUUUAAGCUUUCAAAAUUAAAACAUCUUGUUCUUUGGAGUAAUAAGUUUUCAGGUUCUGUUUCCAAUGAUAUAGGUUUGCUUCAUGAGCUUGUAACCCUCAAUCUUAACUCUAAUUUUUUUGAGGGGCCGCUUCCGCCAAAUGUAUUCAAGCUCUCCAAACUAAAGUUUUUUGCCCUUCAUGAGAAUAACUUUUCAGGUUUUAUUUCUAAGGAUAUAGGUUUGCUUUCCGAACUUGAAAUCCUCUAUUUUGGCUCUAAUUUUUUUGAGGGGCCGCUUCCUCCACAUGUAUUUAGGCUCUCCAAAUUAAGAGGUCUGGACCUCUCACACAAUAGAAAUUUAUUUGAAGGAAGUAUUCCUAUUGGACUGGGACUCUUGACUAACCUCAGGUACUUAGAUCUACAUUCCAAUAAUCUCGGUGGCUAUAUUCCAUCUGACAUUGGAAACCUGAAGCUACUAGUACUUCUUGAUCUCGGUUCUAAUCAAUUGACUGGACCGCUUUCAAAGAUCGUUUCUAAUCUCACAAAUCUUAUAUGUCUUGAUGUAAGUCAUAAUAGUCUUAGUGGAAAUAUUCAGAGUGACUUGUGGAAAUAUAACGAUCAUCCAACUUUGGAAUACAUCAAUUUAAGUGGGAACCAUUUUACGGGUAUAGUUUUUCUCUAUAGAUCUUUUCCUUUUCUCAUAUGUAACUAAGCUAGUAAUCUGAUUAUUGCAGUUUCACCAAAGUUUCAACAAUCUUGACAGGUGAGCUUCCAACAACAAUUUGCAAUGUCACUUCCCUUUCGGUUCUUGAUUUGUCAAAUAAUGAAUUAAGUGGUGCACUUCCAAACUCUUUGGGGAAUCUUGCUGAUGGAAUGCUUUACCUUAAUCUUGCUAAUAAUCAGUUUCGAGGAACAAUACCAACUACUUUCUCCAGGAGUUGUCGGUUGACAUAUCUAAACAUGGAUAAUAAUGAGUUUGAAGGAUUGUUGCCCCCAUCUUUGGCGAACUGUAAGCACUUGAAAAUUCUUGAUAUAGGCAAUAAUAAAAUAGGUGGUACAUUUCCGUCAUGGCUUUAUGCACUUGGAGAGCUAGAAGUUCUUGUCUUGCGAUCAAAUAAACUCUAUGGUACAAUAAGUGGAAGGAGCAUAGAAGAUCCCUUCCCCAAGUUGCGGAUUGUGGAUCUGUCCCACAAUCAAUUGACAGGCUAUUUGCCAAUUCAAUACUUUAAGAAUAUGAAAUCAACUGAUAAUUUGUAUCGUUAUCAGAAUGACACAGGAGUUUUUUCUUUCCAUUAUGAAGCAUCUGUCUCAUUAACUGUGAAGGGAACAGAGUAUGAAGUGAAAAAUAUCCUUCAUAUUUACACAACCAUUGAUCUGUCCUGCAACAAGUUUCAAGGAGAAAUUCCUGACGUUAUUGGAGAGCUUAGAUGGCUUGCAUUGCUGAACUUAUCUCAUAAUAGUCUAACAGGACAUAUCCCAUCAUUGCUGAGAAAUAUGAAAGGACUCCAAUCUUUAGAUUUGUCUUCAAAUCAACUGAAAGGGGCUAUUCCACUUCAGUUAACUGCAUUGACAUUUCUAGAGGUCUUGAACCUCUCGGGAAACCAUCUUAGUGGAGAGAUUCCUCAGAAAGGGCAGUUCAGCACAUUUAACAUUGAUUCUUAUCUAGGAAACUCCGCGUUAUGUGGUUCACCUUUGAUGAAGAAAUGUGCAAACACAGCAUCACCUCCACAAGAAGCCGGAAAUGGUGAUGAAGAUGAAGCUGGUGAUGAAUUGACAUGGGAAGCAAUCGUGAUGGG